UUAUAAGAGAGUGCCAAGUCAUUACCUUAUCAAGAUUGAGUCAGGCAGCUGUGACUGAGUGGUUUCACUAAGAUCACGACUAGUAUAAAAGCAGCAAGUCACUCUUGUGUUUUAUGCACCAAACUCAUAAGUCACUAACAUGGCUUCCUCAAACUUUUUAGUGCUGCUUCUUUUUGCUCUCUUUGCUAUCCCUCGGGGUCUUGCCAAUUAUGACAAGCCUCCGGUUUACCAACCACCGGUCUACAAGCCCCCUGUUGAGAAGCCACCUGUGUAUAAGCCACCGGUAGAAAAACCUCCAGUUUACAAACCACCGGUAGAGAAACCACCAGUGUACAAGCCACCAGUUGAGAAGCCCCCCGUCUACAAACCUCCUGUAGAGAAGCCUCCUGUUUACAAGCCACCAGUAGAGAAACCACCAGUGUACAAGCCACCAGUUGAAAAGCCUCCGGUCUACAAACCACCUGUAGAGAAGCCACCUGUUUACAAGCCACCUGUAGAGAAACCACCAGUGUACAAGCCACCAGUUGAGAAGCCUCCGGUCUACAAACCACCUGUAGAGAAGCCACCUGUUUAUAAGCCACCUGUAGAGAAACCACCAGUGUACAAGCCACCAGUUGAGAAGCCCCCGGUCUACAAACCCCCUGUAGAGAAGCCUCCUGUCUACAAGCCACCAGUAGAGAAACCGCCAGUGUACAAGCCACCAGUUGAGAAACCCCCGGUCUACAAACCCCCUGUUGAGAAGCCUCCUAUCUACAAGCCACCAGUAGAGAAACCACCAGUGUACAAGCCACCUGUUGAGAAGCCUCCAGUUUAUAAGCCACCAGUUGAGAAGCCACCUGUGUACAAGCCCCCAGUCGAGAAACCCCCGGUCUACAAACCUCCUGUAGAGAAGCCUCCAGUUUACAAGCCACCGGUGUACAAACCUCCAGUUUACAAGCCACCAGUAGAGAAGCCACCUGUGUACAAGCCUCCGGUCUACAAACCCCCAGUUGAGAAACCUCCAGUUUACAAGCCACCGGUUUACAAGCCUCCAGUCGAGAAGCCACCAGUUUACGGACCACCUCACCACCCAUAGUACCCUCCCGUAGUUGGCACUACUCGUUUUUAAAGCAUGCUUUUAAGUAAAUAAGAGAUAUAUAAACUUUCCAAAGCAAGGAUCAUAUAUUCUUGGAAAUCUUCAAUUCAAUCUUAUGUUUACAAAUGCUAUUGCCAAGACAAGAGUGUGAAAGAAAAUGGUGCCAUUUGUACUUCAAAUUAUGAAUAAGAACGUUAUGAUUUAGUACUUCUUAUUUUGUGUUUGUUGACUAAAUUUGACAGAGUAUACUUUACUUGUUCCCUAUCAUACCAGUAAGGUGCAUGAAAGUUCAGUCUUGAACGGUGGAAAUAAAUAAUAAUUAAUUAAUGUUUGAAUCUCGAAUUUACUAAAUUAACGAACUUGUAAUUUCAUUGGAAUAUACUUGACUCAGUGGUAGCUUUAGUUUCAACUUGGAAAAUGUCCGUGAUAUGACAAUUUUUCCAAAACAAGUUUAGGUUAAGAUUUUUAUUUUUUAUUUUUGACAUAAUAUACGUUAAGAUUCUUGUGUACUAAUAGAAACUGAAAAAUCAUUUUGGUGCUUAAAGUUUAAUGAGUUGGACAAAUUAUUCACUCAAAUAUGGAAAUGAUAAUGUAGUCUCUUCAAUUAUAGAAUGCCAUUUAAUUUAGUUACCUUUUCAAAAUUAGCAUCACAAUUCGCAAGGUUUUAUAUUUGUGUUGAUGCAUCAGUUAAGAUAAGGAUCACGAAAAUUAGGUUUUUGACUUGGUUUUGAUUAGGGGUGUUUGCGGUGCGUUUUGGUUCGGUUUUGAGCAUAAAAGUCAUCUAAACCUCAAGAUAAAAAAGCAUGCGGUUUGGUUUGAUUCAGUUGAUUUUUAUAUAGUCAUCCAAACAAAACCAAACCAAACCAAUGCGGUUUGGAUUGGUUCGGUUUGUACGGUUUAUCGCGAGAUGAAAAAAUAUUACAUUAACUCUAAUAUUGCCAACUUGUUACAAAAUAAACAUAGGACAUUUUAUUUUGUUGUUUAUAUGAUAAAAUAUUAGGUAAAACUUAUAUCAAAAUAGGUAAAAUUAAGAAGAAACAUAAGCAUGAAACAAAUUAUUGAGAAGUAAAAGAAACAAAUUCAUCACUGAAAAUGAAUUGAAAGAGAUGGAAAGGAAUUAGAAUCGAACCAGAUGGUGCAACAAUGGAAAAAUCUAAUCAAAUGAGAUUAUUCUUGAGCUAUGUAAUUGGGCUAGUACAUGUUUAAGUAAUAUUCAUUAUUCUUGCGGUUUGGUUUGGUACUUGAGAUGCAAACCGCAAACCAAACCGAACCGCGCGGUUCAGUGUAAAAGUCAUCCGAGUUCAUUCGAACCAAGUGCAGUUUUUUGCGGUUUCGGUUUGGAUUGGUUUGGUUUGCGGUUUUUCUAUUGGGUUCGUUCGGUUUUGAACACCCCUAGUUUUGAUCGAUGUUUCCUGAAGAUAUGUUUUGGUAAUUGAACUAAAUAAACUGUCUUACAUUCUUCAAUUAAUGAGAUUAAAUUUCCUUUUUACAAAUAUCAAUGAUUAAUGUCAAGGACUAAAAUGAUGAUUAGUGUCGCGCCAUUUUUCGGAGGUCAAGGCCAUUUGAUUAGCUUUUGACUCACUUUUUAUCUCACGACUGAACAAAAAAUUUUUUAAAGGGGAAAAAGUUUCAAACCACCCAUUUUGAAAAGAUUUAGGGUUCAUGGGUUGGUUAUAUUUAGGGAAGGUAUUAGCACCCUAAAUAUUCGUAGUACUCUAUGAGUACCUCUUGAUUUUAUUUAACUUUUUGUGCUUAAACUUGCUUGCUUUUGAAGAGAUGAAAAUAGAAUUGAAAGAUGAGUUGAAACGAAAAAGAAAAUUGAUUUUAAUUGAAAAGAAAAAAGAAAAUUGUUUUUUAGUUGAUUUGGAAGGACAAGGUCCUCUGCCUACGUACCCGUGAGGGAUCAAAACCUCGUAGUUCGGGGUAGAAAUUGACGUUUGAUUGGUUUUAUAUUUUUUAUUAGUUUUUGAAAAAAGGUUUGAAAUAAAAAGCCAAGUGGCAAAUGAGAAUUGAUUUGUGUUUUUUGGAUUGAAGGAAAUAGACUUGAAGUAGAAUUAAAAUUGAUUUGAGAUUUGAUUAAGAAAGAAAAUAGAAAUAGCGAUCACUUCAUUGAAAGUCAAGGUUUGUUAUAAAAAUAUUUUUUUGUGAUUUUUUGAUAUUUGGAUGUUUUUGCCGUUUUUGAAUAAUGAAUGAAAAUUAAACUAACAGAGCAAUGAAAAUAAAAGUGCGUGGGCGUGAAGAAAAGAUUUUGGUUUAUGUUAGUUCGACAAUAUAAAUAGUAUUUAAUAUAUGUUGUGUUCACUUUGGAUAUUAUCGGACAAAAUUUUGACAAUAAUAAAAAUAAUAAUAGUAAAAUAGAAUAAAAAAUAGAAAGACUAAAGUGAAUCAAAAUGAGAUAAAAAGAUAAAUAUUUAAAACGGAUUUAAAGUUAAUAAAAGAUGGAAACUAAAAUUAAAUGAAAUUUGAAAAUUGAGAGAAGAGGGUCCGACUUGGAACCAAAUAUGAGGUAUUUUAAAAUACCUUCCUAUCGAAAUUUUGUUCGAAAGGCUGAGACCGGUCGGAGUUAAAUGACACGUGUCAGUGCUGCCUUAGGUCAAAAAUUGGGGUAUGACAAUUAGCUCAAUAAUUAAUUAUUGUGAUUUCUUCAUUUUAUAUUUAUAUUUAAGAAUAAAAAAAAAAAAAUGACGAUAUCAACUUUGACACAUUACAUAUUCAAUCAAUGUUGACUUGACCAUCAAUGCUACAUAUCCGGAUGUAAGAGUAGUUCGACGAGUUUAUUUUUGUCACUUUUGUUGAUAUUUUGUUGGUUUAUGCUAUUAACUUGCAUCUAGUAAACUUGUUCAUAGCUUCAUCAUUUUCAGUUUUAGUGACAUGAUAUUUGUGUUGUAUUCAAUGUGAUUUACCGCGCGAUAUGAAUAAUAUAUAUUUUUAGUCAAAAUUAAUCAUGUCGGACCUGAGAUCUUUGGUUUGAUGGCGUUGAACGACCUUUGAGUAAGACAAUGUUAAACCAAAAUGAGUUUUAUACAAUGCCUCUGAAGUUUUGAUAAUAACAAAGUAUAAAAAGAACAAUUGAAUAUGCCAAUGUUGUUCAAGUAUGCUCGACCAUAUAUUAAAAUUCAAAGUAUUAAAUCAAGUUUUGAUUCUGAAAGAACAAGAUUAUGAACAUAUACAAGAGCAUCUGCAACUUAUGAGAAGCUGGAAAUUUGGAUCAGACUCUGAAUAAGUAAGACUGUGAAAGUCGGGAGUGUAACACCCUGAACCCCACAUACUAUUUUUAAAAGUAAUAAUUCAACAUUUAAAUAAACAUAUCAAGAUGUUACUCUUCAUUUUCAACACAUAACAAGUCUCCAUCUUAAAAUAUCAACUCACAGCGGAAAUAAGUCUCAACAACACAAAUGUCAUACAUCAUAUCUCAGAAUAAGUACAUCAUCAAAAUAAACUCAAGGUUCCUCAAACAUAAUAUGAUAACAUAAAUAAAAUCCCAACAUCCUAAUCAGAGAACCACUAGACAAGACUCCAAAAUCAAAGCGGUAAAAGAUGAGUAGGCUGCAAGCCGUCCUCGGAAACUCAUGGUAACUUUGCGUCCUCAACCUGCAAGUCUCCACCACAAGGGCGUAGGCGACCAUUUGCCAAACGUAGGGUAAGAUAUAAAUUUAACAUAGAGGAAAUAUGAACACAUAUAUAGUAUUAGGAUCGCAACAUCAUAUACAAGUAUUCAUCUUAAGCAAUACCAUAUUAACAUGCAUUCUCAUUGAUUGGUAAAAUAUACACAACAAAUCUCAAAUCAUCAUCACAAGAAUAUAAAAAAGUAAACACAUCAUUGAUUAAUCAUCCAAUGGAAUACAUAGGAUUCACACAUUAUCACUUUCAUUAAAUCACACAUUUUCCAUAAAAUACACAUAGUCAUGUAUGCAUCUUUCACAUAGAUUCACAUAGUCAAGUACUCAUCUUCUACAUAGACUCUCAUGUACGAAAUGUUCCUACUCGACUUUAUAUGCAUGUGGUACUGUUUUCGAUAUCAGAGGUAUUUUCUGAGUGAUUUCACCGUCACUUGGACUGACCAUGAAUGCAUGAACAUCUCAUCAUGACUCGACAAUGCAUAAUUCAUAUAACUCGACAAUUUACAUCAACAACAUCAUCACAUCGUAUAUUAAUUCAUCGUCGCUAUAUCAUCAUCAUCAUCAUCAUCAUCAUCAUCAUCAUUUUCAAUGUCAUUAUAUCAUCAUCAUCAUCAUCAUAUCAACAUCUAUAUAUAGUUCAAAUCAUCAUGUCAAACCAUAUCAAUAUGUAUCCACCUCGUCUCGCAAUCACAUUCACAGUCAUCAUCAUUAUAUAUUCAUAAGACAUUAUUCUACAUCAUCAAGUAUACUUCGUUAAUCAUCUAACAAGUUCACAGUCAUUUCAUGAUUCAAUUAUAAUUAAAUCACAAGUUUAUUUCUAACCAUUUCAAUUGCUAAGUUUACUUCCAUCAUAAGCUAGGUUAAUUACUCUUACACAUCAAAAUUAUACUUCUAUUAAUCAAGUUUAGAGGUUUGUGACAUAUUCACAUGCAUUGGAUACCUUAAAAUACCAAAAAUAUGAGUUUCCCACUAUAGGGAGGGUUGCACGGUAGUGCCAUCCAGGUGCACAGUCGUGCUCAUCAUGCAGGUAGGGAAAAGCUAUAAUUUUUGCGUUUUGCUCAGGAAGAACCCCUUUCAACACCAUUUUUCGAUCCAAUUCACACCAAACUAGACCCAAAUCAUAAAACUAAUGUUGUCUAAUCAAUUACACAUUAAUUUUACCUUAACUAACUUUAUUAUACUCAUUAUUAUCGUCAAUUAACAUGAACUUCAAUUGUUUUAAACUUAUCACUUCAAACCCAUUUUUAACAUGGUAAUUCAAACCCCAAACAUAGUAACAACCAAAUCAACAUCCCUUAUUCAAAAUGAACACAAAAAAAUUCAUCAAUUCACAUUAUAAACAUCAACUCAACAAUUAUCAACAAUUAUCAUGAAUUUCACCAAUUUCACAUAAAACUCAAAAACCCUAAUUCACCAUAAUCAAACAUUGAUUUUAACACAACUGUUAGGUUUGUAGUCUUGACAUGUUGGUGCGACAUCAUAGCGUGCCUUGUUCCGAUUUCUUGGAGAUUGUAUUUAAAUGUGAAAUCGCAGAAGAAAACUAAACGCAUCACAACUAAGAAAAGGUAGAAUAAAACCUUUCUACAAACAAAGCGCACAUCACUUGAAAGCAAAAUAAAUACGCAACUAAAUUUCAAAAAAGAUAUGCAUAAAUUAUCAUAGAAUAAGGCACCAAGUAACACGUUCUUACGUCUCAGAUUACCAAAUGGCUCUCCGAAAAAUAACCAGAGUAUGAUAAAAUUACAGAUUUCCCAAAACAAAAGGAACAUAAACUAAAAUACAAAGCACGAAAACAAAGAAGACACAACAACAUAACUCUUCAUCCACUAACUUUCCAUCAACCAAAAUCUUGGAGGGGUCCAGCUCGCUCACAUUAUCAUCAGGGUUAAAAUGCAGAACUUGCGCCCUAGUAUGCUCAAAGCCAUUGUCAAAAUAUAAGGCAAGAUCCCCCUUGCCAUCCUCAACGACGAAUUGAGCUUUGGCGAGAUCCCCUUACAACUAGACGACCUUCUUCUUCCAUGAAUCUCUCUCCAGCUCAACAACUUCUUUUUCAUCCUUCAUAUCUUUGGUCGUCUUCUCUGCAGUCUUCUUAUCCUCCAAGGCUUCCUUCAACCUACUUUCAAGACCCGUUGCUUUAUGCUUCCACUUCUCCACAUCUUCAUGAGCGUCUUUAUACUUUGCCUCUAAAGCACCAUGUUUCUUCUCCAUCACUUUUCCUAAUAAAAGGACCCGGAGCACUAAUAUUCUUGUAUCCAUUACUAGCUCGCCAAAUUUGCUUUUAACGCCAGCAUCAACGUCAACCUUAGACAGUGGCACUUUAUCCUCCAUGUAGCUACGAUAAACGCAUGACUUAAAAGUUGAAAACCCACUAACAUUACUAGAAUUUAAGUAAAAUCUCAUCAUCAAAUUAAACUCUCAUACCUACGAAAGUCGAAAUCUUUAUGCCAAAAAGAGUCAGCCACCUGAACAUUCAGAGAAAUGGUUCCCGCCACCCCGCUAGCAUAAUCAUCAUCCUUCCGACUGGCAACAAAUGUCCGCUUCGAGUCGCCCUUCCCAGUCCUCAUCUUCUUGCGUCUGGGCGAGUCAGUUUGCUCAGCCAGUACCCCAUUGCCUGCCGUCUCCAUGUUAUCAAUGUCCAUAUCCGAAUGUAACAUCCUAAAAUUUUAAGUCUAUAUUCAAAUGUAGUUAAAAAUAUAAAACAUAAUAGUGUAAUUAUUUUAAAAUACGCGAAGAUAAAAAUAAAGACAAAUAAAUAUGAUAUAAUUUCUUAUUAAUAAUUAAAUUUUAUUGGAUAAAAAGAAAAGGAGAAAGAAAGAAAAACAAAAAUAAAGGGAGUGCAAAUAACAAUUAUUUUUAGAAAAGAAAAAAAAAGUUAUAUACUUUCUCGAAUUUUUUUUCUGCCCUUGUUUAUGCAAAAAAAUACAAAAAUGCCCCACUUUUUCGAAAAAUUGCGUAAAUGCCCUACUUUUUCAGAAGCCCCUGGUACUACUCCACUUGGAGUUGCGGGGUACCCUAAAAAGUCACAAUUUUUUUGUCCUUAUUGUACGCCGCUACUUGGACUUGCGGGGUACUUUCCUACUUUUUUUUUUCCACUUUUUUUACUACCCCGCGAGUCUUAGCUUUUGCUUUUUUUUUUAAAAUUUUUUUUUUUUAAAUACCCCUCUACUUGGAGUAGAGUGGUAUAAUGAAGACAAAAAAAAUUCAACGUGUAAUAAUUACUCUCAAAUAAUAAAAAACUAAUUAAAAUUAUAUAACCAAUAAAAUACCAUCUACAAUGAUUAUAAAUGCCCGGCUGUCCCACACCUUCGUCUUCGACGAUCUCUUCCGCGAUUUACUUGAGGGUUAUGUUGGUCUUCGUCAUUUUUAUUUGUAGUUGAUUGUAUCUGACUACCAUAACCCAGUGACAACGACACAUCGUGUUCUCUUGUUGGCCAUCCCAUAUCCAGAAAUUGUUCAUUGGAGUUCAACGAAGUCGGAGAGAAGUGAGAUAAUAGGUUUGUUGGUGUUGGUGGGUGGUUGUAGUUUUGGUUGGUGUACAUUGGGUAUUGUGGGUUGUUGUAGGGGGGUAAUUGGUGUUGGACGGUCCAGCUUGGUUUGGGUCAUUAUAGGAGAAGUAGUUGUUGUUGGAUGUGUUAGCUUGGUUUGGUUCAUUGUAACCAUAAUUUGUCAUUGAAUUUUGUUGGUAAGUUGACUGAUAUUGGGGCUCAUAUGCAUUUCUCGGGGAGGUAUAUGGUGGUGGUUGGAUGAUAUUUUGUUGGGGGGUGUCGAGAAAUUCAUACAUUACAGAACCAUGAAUGUUUUGUGUUGUAUGUGGUUGGGAUUGAUGAUCUUGUAGUUGAGAAAAAAUGUCUUGAUCCCAAAAAUCAUCAUGAAUUGGUGUUUGGUUGUUGUGAAUUUCAGGUUCAUGUUCCGGCUCCGGCUCUUCUUGUUCGUCUGGAUCUGAAUCUGAUGGUUUUGUCUCAACUGAAAUCCUUAGACGUGGGUUGCAUGUGGUUGUCAACCACUCAAUAUACGCAUGAGUUGGGGUGAGUGAUCUUGGCCGCAUGUGAGGUAAAAUAUAACUCCGUCGGUUGUCCCAAUGUAAGCUCUCUUGUGGAAAGUGAAAACCAUUUGAUUGGUACCACAUCUUGAACCGUUUGUCCACUAUAUGGAAUUGUCGCAUGUCUCGUGGGGCCCCUGGUAUUUCCUGUGGCAAACCAAAUUCUAGCUUGACCCUAUCAGUUGGAUGCCAUUCAACUCUGUCAAAACAUAUAAGGUGAGUUGUUGCAGUCCACUCCCAAUAGUCUUCAGGAAAAUUGUGUGGAACAUUCUUGUAUGGUCUCCAUUUAAACUGGCAGAAGAGAGAAGUUGUAGUGUAAGGUUAACAAUUUUGAUAUAUAUAUAUAUAUAUAUAUAUAUAUAUAUAUAUAGUUCGAUAGGUGAAAUAUAUAUUCAUUAUUAAUUAAAUAACUCCUAAUUAAAUACUUGUAAAAAAACUCAUGAUUAAAUAAAUAAUUAAUUUAUAAUCGCGACAUUUUUUUAGUCCUAUAUUAAUUGCAUGUCCUACUUUUUUUUUUCUUACAAAAGAAAGUUAACAUAUAGCUUUUUAUUUCUUUACGACCAUGAAAGUGUUAAUAUGUAGCUUAAAUAACAAAAUAUCUUAAUUAUAUUUAAUUAGACCAUGAAAGUUAGUUUACCCUUGAAAUUACAUAAAAAAAAAAUUACCGUUCAAUAUAUAUAUAUAUAUAUAUAUAUAUAUAUAUAUAUAUAUAAACUCAUACAUUCAAAAAUCAAUUAUAAUAUUACUUGAUGUUCCAGUAUGUCAUCAAACUUUUUUCUGUAAGAUAUAGUGUCAUGGCUUGGAUUCUCGUAGUAUCUUGAACCUGCACCUGUCCAUCUAACAAAUGAUAUAAACAAAUUAGUAGCUAAUUUAUCAAAUAAUAAUAUUAAUAAGAAGCGAGAAUAUGCGAGGAAAUUAACAAAAAAAAUAAAUAAAUUAAUUGACCACGAUUACUUUAAUCCUAGCGGCUACUGGAGUGGGUUAUCAUUUCUCGGAGCGAUAUAACUCAACCGACAAUAUCCCCAAACUUGUAACAGAAAAUGACAUCCAGAUAGUGCUUUUAUAUUUGGGUGUGAUGCCUCACACAAGCCACGAUAAAGGUAAGCCAAAACUGCCGAUCCCCAACUAUAAUUUCUUGUUUCAUUAAAAUCCAUUAACAAAUACAACCAAGAGUUGUGCACAAAUAAUCCAGUUGUAUUAGGAAACAAGAACCCUCCAAAGAGGUAUAGUAGGUACCUCCUGUGUGUUGUAUUUUUACCUCCGGAGGAGAUUGUUCACUGAAGUUAUUAUCGACCAGAUUAUCCUUUAAUCACGACAACGAGAGAGUAAAACCAUCAGUUUUGUGUGCUGGAGGAGUUAUUCCCAACAAUUGAGCACAAUUAUUCCACAGAAGAUUUGGAGGAGCCGUAACAAUUGGUCCUCCAAAAGGUAAGCCGAGUAAAAUAUAUACGUCUUCAAACGUGAUUGUACAUUCACCCGUUCGAAAAUGAAAAGUAUGUGUUUCGGACCGCUAUCUUUCUACAAGAGUGGUUACGAUGUGCCUAUCAAUUUUGUAACGCCCUAUUUGAGAAACCUCAAAAAAUCCAGCUUGACGUAGAUAAUCUUCAAUAUAAGGACUUGGUAUGAUGUUUUGCCGUGUACGAGUGGUUAGAGGUGCACCCUCUGCAUCCUAACAAAAAAUAAUAAAGGAAUAAAAUUAAAACAUAAUCAAAAUAUAAAUUUAAAAAAACGUGAACAUAUUUAAAUUAAUAUUAAAAAAUAAAAAUGACAUUAACAAAUUAAUAUCUAUAUAUACCCAUCUUCUUAUAUGUUCUUCCAUGGAUCUAUGAUCAUUUUCCAACCACAAGUAUGCCAUUGCUUUAUAGAAUUUGAUUGAAAUAAUCUCUUAUGUGAGUGAGUAAGGAAAGGAUUGAGAUAAGUAGAAUAUGUGUAAAGAGUAAAAAUAUAGUUGUGGUAUUUAUAAUGUAAAACUAUGUGUAAAUGGUAGAAGUAGUAGUGUGGUAUUUUAAUCAAUGAAGUGAAGAGUUCCUGUGUUACUACUGCAACGCAUGCAAGCCAACAGUGUUCAAAUAAACAUAGAAAUGACAAUUGCAUCAAUAGCAGAAGCAUGGUGUUCAACAAUAUUGAAUUAAUUCGUAAACUUUGCCUCAUGAGAUGACCAUUGCAUGUAAAAAAUACAUUAAUUUCUUGCAAGAAAUUUUUGACUGAAAUGACCAAUGCAUGUUUUGAUCACGUGAAGCAUGCUAGCAAACAAAUGGCCGACAAGCUGCCUCUGAAUAACCAAUAGGAACGGCGCGUGCAAAUACUACCCCGCCACUCUGGGUUGCGUGGUACCCCCAGCUGGCGCAUGCUUUACAUACCCCGCCACUCCAGCUUGCGUGGUACCCCCCAGCUGGCGCGUGCUUUACCUACCCCGCUACUCUAGCUUGCGUGGUACCCUCUAGCCCGCUAGUCCAAACUGCGUUGUACCUUUUUUAAUUUUCCCGCUCGAAGGGCAGAUUAAAUUACAUGUUAGUAUAAAUAAAAGUGGUCUGCAUGAUAUCAUUGUAUCAAACCAUUCUACUUCAUACUCUUACUCAUUUCUUAAGAUCAAACCAAUUCAAUGGCACCAAAUAUAAACGUUUUUGUGUACUAUAAUGGAGAAGUUAAACAAAAUGAAUCCGGUAUUUUUUUUCAAAGUCAGUAUACCAAAGGUUUUAAAGUCAGCAUGGCUAGUACUUACUUGCAUCUCAAAAGAAGAAUUGCGGAAAAAGUAUGUCUCGAAGAUAAUAUGGUUGUGUCUGAAAUUAUGUGUCGGAAUCCUAUGUUUGUUGGAACUACCACAAUUCAUUACCAGGCGUUAAGAAUAACUGAUAACGACGAUGUCGAGUUUAUGUUUAACGUACAUAAAAGUCACAGUUCUUUGUCCUAUAUAGAGCUUUAUGUUACGUUUGAGAUGAAGAAUCCAACAUCUAAUUUUGAGUUAAAUUACCCAUCGAGUUCUAGUCAACACCAAAGUCUACCACAACACUACAAUCCGUCAUCGUCGCAAGAACACUACAACCCAUCAUCGUCCCAACCGCACUAUAACCCGUCUCCCAUUUAUGAUGCAUCCUUAUCGCAACCUUUUCAGUCAAAGUGGUCACAAAAUGUGUACGAACCAUCACAAAUAAUAACUCAACCUCAUCCCUCUCAAACACCAUCUCGUUCAACACAACCCAAAACCUUAAACGAUGAAAUCAAUAUAUUCACCUCCCAAUUUCAAGACCAACCAAAUGAUGAAGUUCAAGAUGAUGAAGACGAUGAUGAUGAAGAACUCCUUGCCGCACAAAACGGUGACGAGAACGAAGAAGACGAAGACGACGAUCUGCCACUACUACCAAUUUUACCAAUCAGAGCUUCUUACAACCCACCAAGGUCCAUGCGCAACGUCAAUGAUGACCACUCAACUGAACUUUAUCAUUCAAUGGCUCUUCCGGUCGAUCAAGGUAUUGCCCUAGGGAUGCAAUUUCAUAACAAGAAUGAUUGCAUUCUCGCAAUUAAAUUUUAUCACAUGAAAAAAUCAACGGAUUAUAUUGUGAAAAAAUCAGAUCCUGAAAGGUAUGUCAUCAAAUGUAAAGAUACAAAAUGUGGUUUCAAAUUGCGGGCCUCGUGGAGGAAAAAAACUGAUAAAUGGGAGAUUGGGAAAAUGAAUGAUCAUACAUGUGUCUCAACAGAAAUGACGCAAGAUCAUCAUAAACUUAGUUACAAUGUGAUAUGUGAAAGUGUUAAAUCACUACUACAUAUGGAUACUUCAAUUACAGUGAAGGUUAUAAUUGCACACAUCCGAGAGAAGUUUAAUUACACAGUUUCAUACAGAAAGGCAUGGAGAGCACGGAAUAAGGCGAUUAAAUCAAUUUAUAGUAAUUGGGAGGAGUCUUAUGAAGAACUACCACAAUGGUUGAUGGUCAUGGAAAAAGAUUUGCCAGGAACAAUAAUUGAUUUUCAAACGGACCCAUCAACAGAAGUGGCAAAUGAGACCGUCUUCAAGCGUCUUUUUUGGGCCUUUCGUCCGUGCAUCUCAGGUUUCGAAUUCUGCAAACCAAUUGUCCAAAUUGACGCAACUUGGUUGUAUGGUAAAUACAAGGGAACAUUGUUGUUAGCUGUUGCGCAAGAUGGGAACAACAAGAUAUUUCCCAUAGCUUUUGCAAUCGUGGAAGGCGAGACCAAGGAGGCAUGGAGUUUCUUUUUGAAAAAUUUAAGGCAGCAUGUCACCCCACAAGAGAACAUAUGCCUCAUUUCUGAUAGACAUGUGUCGAUAAAGAGCGCGUAUGAUGAUCCACAGAAUGGAUGGCACGAUGCUCCGACAAGCCAUGUUUAUUGUGUCCGACACAUUGCACAAAACUUUAUGAGAUCAUUCAAGGAUGGAGAACUAAAGAAGAAAGUUGAAUGCAUGGGUAAAAAUCAUAUCUCUUUCCACGUAAAUUCGACAUUUUAUUUGUUUAAAAUGACACAUCUAACUUUUUUCAAAACAAUGCAGGUUACGCCAUGAACAUCCCUACAUUCGAAUACUACCGUUCUGAAAUUGCUGUUGCAGACCGAAAGGCUUUAGCAUGGGUCGACAAUAUUCCCAAACAAAAGUGGACUCAAUCACAUGAUGAUGGUCGACGAUGGGGCCAUAUGACAAGUAACUUGGUAGAGUCACAAAACAACGUGUAUAAGGGUAUUCGAGGACUUCCGAUCACAGCUAUCGUGAAAGCAUCAUAUUACAGGUUGGCGGCCUUGUUUGCUAAAAGAGGACAUGAGGCAGCGGCAAGGGUAAAUUCUGGUGAGCCAUUCUCAGAAAACAGCAUGAAAUAUCUCAGGAAUGAGGUGAUUAAAUCCAACAGUCAUCAUGUCACACAGUUUGACCGGGAUCGGUAUACCUUUUCCGUCCGUGAAACCAUCGACCAUAAAGAAGGAUUGCCAAAGGGAGAAUACAAGGUGGACCUGCAAAAUAAAUGGUGUGACUGUGGACGAUUCAGAGCGUUACACCUACCAUGCUCACAUGUCAUUGCCGCAUGUUCUAGCUUUUCUCACGACUACAAGACUUUUGUCGAUAACAAAUUCACGAAUGAGUGUGUAUACGCCGUAUACAACAUCCACUUCGACGUGGUUCACCACCAGACAUAUUGGCCUAAUUAUGAAGGACUGAAGGUGGUUCCCAACAAGUCCAUGUGUAGGGUAAAGAAAGGUCGUCCACCAAUUACUCGCAUUAGGACCGAGAUGGACGAUGUGGAAACUGAGAGAAGAUGCGGCGUUUGUAGGAUGCCUGGUCAUUCCCGCAAAGAUUGCAUUAAUAUUAGACACCAGUAAAAAUCUAGUCUUUAUUUCGUUUGUAGGAUGUAUGGUCAUUUCCACAAAUAAUUGUAGAUUUUAUGGUAUUUUAUUGGUUAUAUAAUUUUAAUUAGUUUUUUAUUAUUUGAGAGUAAUUAUUACACGUUGAAUUUUUAUUUUUUUUUGUCUUCAUUAUACCACUAUACUCCAAGUAUUUAAAUUUUUUUUUAAAAAAAGCAAAAGCUAAAACGCAAGUCCAACUUGCGGGGUAGUAAAAAAAGUGGAAAAAAAAAAGGAAAGUACCCCGCAAGUCCAAGUAACGGGGUACAAUAAGGACAAAAAAUUUGUGACUUUUUAGGGUACCCCACAACUCCAAGUGGAGUGGUACCAGGGGCUUAUGAAAAAGUAGGGCAUUUGCGCAAUUUUUCGAAAAAGUGGGGCAUUUUUUUAUUAUCUUUGCAUAAACAAAGGCAGAAAAAAAAAAUUCUACUUUCUCCCCACGUUUUCUCAAAAUUUGUUUCUAAAAUAAUAAUAAAAAAAGAAAUAGUUAUUUCAGAAAGAGAAACCGUGUGAUAUUUUUUAAUUAGUGUACACCUACACUUCUCAUGUGCCUAUAAAUAAGAUGCUUAGUUGAACAUAAACUCACACUACAAAACUCUCCUCUCUCUAAAAAAUCAGGUUAGUUCUCUCUCUCUCUCUCUCUCUCUCUCCUUUUCUGAACUUUCUCUAUUCAAUCUAUAGUCAUUCUUUAUUCUUUUGAAAGAGACAAGAUUUACUACUAAAAUAACCUCAGAUUUGGUCCCCACAACCCUUCUUUUGGGAAGAACAACAACAUAGUAUACCCUUCUUUUGGGAAGAACAACAACAUAGUAUUAGAAUGUUCUUUUAUCAGAUGAGAAAGUGACAGUAGUUUAGUUCUUUUCAACCUAAUCAAACCAUGAAAAUAGUUUAGCUCUUUUCAACCAUUCUUUUUCAACAGAAACAUCAUUCAAUAAAAUAAAAUAAAGAGAUCUCAGAUCUGUUUUAGACUUUUAGUAGAAAAAAUUACACGAUUUAAUUAUUGUAUUUUUUAUACUGAUACAAACUAUGAAGAUUGAAACAAAGUUCAUAAGAAAGUUGAGAUCUUGUUUAAUUCAUAUUUUUAGUUUAAAGAAAAAUAAAGAAAUGAACAUUGUUUUAAGAAUGACGUAAUGACUAUUAAAUGGCUUUUAAACAUUCUGACUAUAUAAAAAGGUAGUAACAUAAGUUUCAUUUGAAAUAAAAUAAAAUCAAGCUAUUAUUAAAAUAUAUCUAAUAUAAUCUGAAGAAAAAAAAAGGACGUGAUACAGAGAAACAAAGGAAUUAGAAAACUUUAACUCGUUAUCUCUAUUAUUAUGACCUUGAUAAUGACUAUAGUCUAAUAGAUAGUUUAUUUUGGGUGAGUAUUCUAGGUGAUAUUGGAGCUGCUUUCGACGGAAACAAUAUUGCAACCACUUGCGAAGAAUCCGAAGGUAAGGGGAAUUACUACUAAUAAAUUUUAAAGAUUUUGCAUAAGUUAUGUGCUUAAGUGAUUAUAUGUGAGUAAAUAACUCUACUUGUGAGAGUUAAUUUCUCGAUGAUGUGGUAAUUUCUAGCGAUCAAGUACAUGUCAAAGGACAUCGACUUAUAUGUGUUUUAGUUAAUAUAAUUAGGAGUUUUUGAAAAUAUAAUACAUAAGUAGAAGAAAAAGUUUUGUAAAUGAUGAAUUGAUUAGAUAGUUAUAUUAUGUUUAUUUGGUAUUACUCUUGUGUAAGUGAAUGAGCAUAUGAAUUUCAAUAAGUGUUAACUGAUUUCGAUGAGUGAAAUUAGUUGGAAAUAUAUGAUUUAAAGUGUCAAUUAUGAUUCGACGCGAUAAUUUAUAAUGUUAAUCAUGAUUAAAAACUUCUCUAUAAAAAGAAAUGAUCUAAGAGAGAUAGUUGUAUCCCACCUCAUUAAUUUUAUGGUAUCAACUCAUAGGUAUGUUGUAAAGGAAAGAAACUUAAGAAUGCCAAACUAUGAUCACUAACUUAGUACGUAGACAUAGUAUAUAUAGUUAUAUUGUACGUGUAGGAAAUUCUUUAAAACAAAUGUAUAUGUGCUUUUUAACUAGGCAACAUGAAUUAUUCUUUGUUAAAAUCUCAUGAAUAAAAAGAACAUGUACUAGUUUAAUUGAAUUACCUAAGUUCUUACUUACUGCUGAAAUUUCUAUGCUUAUAAAUAAAUGAAAAAGAACAUAUGCUGGUCAUUAAUUGUUCAGUUAUUAUGUACUGGCUUGAUUUACUUGCUGGAAUUUCUAUGCUUAUACAUAAAUGAAGAGGGACAUAUGCUGGUUAUUAUUUGUUGAGUUAUUAUAUACUGGUUUGAUUUACAUCACUGUACUAAUUGAAUAAAAUUCUGAUGUGGCUAAUCAAUUUUAUAAACAUAAAUGGUUAAUUGUUUGACAUUGUUGAGUUGAAUAUGAGUGUUUUGUCUUGUCUAGAAAGUAGGGACAAUUAAGGAGCUAUAACAGGUCCCUAUACACUCAGGUGUAGAUGAGAAUGAGGAUAGUUAUGGUUUGGUUACUUUGAGGAUCUAUCGAGGGCACUUGUGUUUCGAACGCCUAUCAAUAGUUGGGGAUUGCUUCCCGGCUGAAAGUACUCGUACUACCAGACACGGUGAGCCUGAAAAAACUAGACUAUCUAUGAUAAGGUAGUGCGAUCGGACUAGAAUGAUUAGAGUUUAAGCAUAUCUUGCUCAAAAUACUAAUAAUCAUGAUAUAGUUGCCGAAACGGCCUUAUGCUCAUUAGAGUGGAACCUCCAUGGAGUAGUGAAUUAUGAGAAGAAAAUAAACUAGAGUCAAGAAAAAAAAAGUCAAAAGAGUUCAUGCAUGUGUCAUGUUGAAUGUCAAACUAUUAAUUCAAAUUGGACCUCUUAAAAGAUAGUUUUUUUUUUUUUUUUUUUAUAAUAUGCUUUGUGAUUGUUGUUGGACAGUGAAUGAAAAGAAAAUAUUAUAUCUAUGUAAAUAUCAUUUUACCUUGCUGUAUAUAUAUUAUUUUCUUUUUCCUUAUGUAAUAAAUCACGUGGAAAACUUGUGUACGAGUAAUUCACCCUUCUUUGUUUGUUUUUGUAUCUUGUUGUUUUUUUUGGGUAUGUUCGGACGUUUUUAUAGAUGAUGCCAGAAAGACAUUUAGCUCACUCGGGAACCCGCAUGAUCGAGUUCCUUGAGGUAUUUUCUUUUGCAACACUUAUUAAAGAAGAAAGUAAUAAUAAAUCAAAACACUCACACAAAGACGCCUCAAGACUAUUGGAAUCACCCUAUCGUAUCAAAAGCUCAUGAAUAUCCAUAAGUAAAAACUUCUCCAAAAAGAACACCAUACCCUACUCAUAGGGUGCCAUCUUAUUAAAAUCAUACCCCAUCACUGCAAUCGGAGCAAUGAUCCAACAUAAAGGAAACUUUGGUUUUCCUUCCACCAUCACCAACGAAGUUGAGCCCUCAGGCUCUCCUUGCACCCUAACAAACGAAUCACACCAAUCCUUCUUAAAGUUAGAAGCAUAAGGAGGGAAAAGUUUUUUACUAGGAUAGGCACUAAUUGAAACCCACAUUCCCUUGUUUACAUCUUUCGUCCUAUAAAAAUGGAAGAAGACGCCAACAGAAGGCUCCAAACUCAUCCUUACAAAGUAGUUUGAAUCCACGAAUAAACGCCUAGCUAUUAGGACGUAUUUGCGAAGGCGCCACAUUCAGAAACUUUAGCACAUCCAUCUCAAAAUCCGUAAAGGGUCGUCACCCCAAACUCUUCCAACACCGUCAUAUACAUAAGAAAGGAAUCAUCCCUGACACCCUCCAAACGCUGAUCGCACACUCUCUCGCCUACAUCACAGGGCGACACUGUCACAUCUUUCUCGUUCUCAGUAGCAGAAGUAUCCAUCUUGUUUCAGAAUAAAUUGAUAUCCGAAGGCGACAUAUAUGAAAACACCGCUCGAAGAACUUCUUCAGCUAAAUGAUUCAUCUCCAACUCAUAAGAAUACGUCAAACACAUAAUCUCUUUUUGAGUAGACGGAAGAGGCAUAUAAUGACAAAUCUCUUGACAAGUUUUCCCCCUACGACAAAUCACUAUCACUACCAUUAGAGCUAUCGCUACUAGUGUUGCUAUCAUUGGACAAUUCCCCUAAAACCCUACGAUAAAAAAGCCCUAAUUCGUAAGCUUCCCAAUCAAUCAAGUCAUUAGGAUGUGUUGCAUGUCUUAAAGAAUCUCUCCUCAGUUGGUCUCUCUCAUCAAAAUUCGUAGGAGAGAAGGCGAAAAAUGAGAGAAGGAAAAUGGAAGAGUACUUGAGAAGAUUGAAAACGUGAGCUUAGAAAUCCAGACAAUCAGCUGGCAAGUGCGCGAAUACGGAGAACUAAAAGGCGAAAAAUGCGGAAGUGAAAUGAGGAAAGGAAGGAAAUGAAGGGUCAAAGAGUUUUAGAGGACAACAACAAUUAAAACCCCCUCAAAAAACACGCUCAUCCUUGGCACGAUUGGAGACACGUGUCAAGAUACACCCAGAUUCGAACACGUCACUAUCAUCGAAAGGUCACACAUUUUGGACCAUACAAUCAUGUUAAAAAUGAAAGAUCUCGUCGAUAUAGAAUUUCAAAAAACUCGUUGCCAACUCCUCAAACAGGAAACUUACUCGCCGUGCUGUUACAAAUCACUUCGCCUUGUCCCAAGACUCGUGGUUGGGGGCUGUGAACAAACAUCAGGCAUAAAACGCAUGACUCGACUAGCACACACCCUAGGGGGCUCUAGGAUAAAGCAUAAUCACCCAAGGGGGACUCUGUAAGCUCCAACAACAACAUCCAAAGACAUACACAAAAAAUACUGAUAAACGUAAAAUAAAUUCCAAAUGCUAAUUAAUCAUUUCGCCUUGUCCCAAGACUCGUGCUUAGGAGGCUUUGGACCGUCAAUAUCUUCUUAAGGACCUAGAAGUCCUCCCAAAGGGCAUUUAGACCCUCCUAGAUGCCUAACACCCUUCAAAAGGGCUCUAAGGCCCAACACGCGCCCUUCCUAGGGAGCCGCCUCUACCAGCUUCUAAAACCUCCAAAGCUCGGCCUAAAUACCUAAUACGAUUACAAACCCUAAUACCUCAUUACGUAUAGCUUAAGAACCAUAAAUCAGGCCAAUAGAGGGCUAUAAAUACAACCUUUGAGAGCCUUCUGAAGGCAUGACCAAUACAUUACAAACCCUAAUACGAUUAUUGUACUUUUGCAAGUACAAUGAGGAAGGCGAUAUUGACAGGGAAAGUUUCCACCUAAUUUGGGCUAAAAACAUGGACUUUUGGGGGUAAAAAAGUCACAAAAAGUGACUUUUUUCGCAAGGAGCAGGGCGCCUAGCGCAUAAUGGCAUGCACCUAGCUCAUGUUCCUGCUAGGCUGAGGCGCCUAGUGCCCCUUUCAUGCGCCAGACGCUUCAGUUGUUUAGCUUAGGGGCACCUAUUGUGCACCUGGGUGCAUAAGUGCCUUUUCAGUGCCUUUUCAGUGCUGUUUUUCUUGUUUUCUUUGCCUUUUGAGGUGUUUUCUUCAAUGUAAGAUGUCUUGGAACUUGAGAACAAAAUUCCUUCCUUUGUAAAGACUUCUGAGGCAUCUUGAAUCUUCAUUAUUCAUCUUCCCAAGGUCCACAUAAAUCUUCAAAUGUCUUGCAUUGUCUGAUUUGCUUGAUUUCUUCGUGAAUUACUUCAACAACACCCUAAAAUUGCUAUUUUUCAGGAAGAAUAGAAUUACAAACUCAAUAUAAAAUACAUUACAAAUGUACCGAAAUCAUAGGCAAUUGAUCAAAUACUCUUCUUCUUUGCUGGUAAAACCUACUGAAAUUGACUGAAAAAUGUAACAGCCCUAUUUUCGUUAGAUUUAUUUUAAUUGUUUUAAUAUGUGUUUAUUUAUGCUUAUGUGUGAUUAUUAUCAUUGGGUGCAUUUUUAUGGGUUUUCGUGUUGGAAGGAUAAUUUAGUAAUUUCAUGUAAGGAUUAUUUUUAGUGUUUCAAGUGAGAACCAUUAUUUACUAAGUUACUAGUGUGGUAAUUAGUUGUGAGCCGGUAAGUGAUCGUUGUUAUUAUUUUACCGUUAAGGGAGUAGAAACAUUUUAGAAUUAGUGAAUUAGUGGGUUAAGCCCACUAAGGCAUUAGGGUUAAACCCAAUUGAGAAGAGCCUAUAUAAGUUCUAGAUUUUAGAGAAAAAUAGGUUUCCACUUCAUUUCAUAAGAAUUUUGAGAGAGGUAGAGAUAGAAAGUUCAAGAGAAGAGGAAAAUGGUUAGAAGGGAGAAAAGCUUGAAGACUCAAGAGGUGAUAGAGAUUCUAGGACCUAAAUUGAAGCUUUUGCUAGGAUUUUUGCUAAUUGAGGUAAGGGGGUUAGAUUUCAAUCAUAAUAACUUAGUUGUAGCUUUUACCCUAAUUUCAUGUAUAAAUGCUUAUUUGUAUAAAGUGAUUAUUAUGAAAUUAAUUGAUGAAAUUCGUGGUUAUGCUUUGAUGUGAUGUUUGGGUAUGUGAAAUUGAUGUUAAUUAAGUUGUUGAUGAAGAAUUUACAUGCUCAAGUUAUGUAUAUAUGUAUACUUGUGUUUUUGCUCAAAAUUGAUGAAGUAUAAUGUUAUUGUUGGUGAAUUGUUGAUGAAUUCACUUCUGAUUGUUGUUGUUGUGAUUGUGAGUAGUUGUUGUUGAUGAUUGAAACCUUGGGUAAUCUUAACCAUAGAGCUUGAAGUGAGUUUCUAUUGUUCUUGAAGUUUUCAUGAAAAAUAGGUCAAAUGGUAAUUUUGUUGAAAUUAUGUUGGAUUCAAGUUUUUAUAUGGAUUUGAGUGUCUUUUCAUGUUUAGACAAACUUUGGGAUCAAAUUUGGGUAUUGGGUCAAAAUUGGGAUUUUGGGGUGAAAAAUGAGUUUUUUUUUGUAGUAGAACUCCAGAAGCCUGUCACAACUCGCCAUGGCGAGCGGGAGGCGAGCAGGAGGUGCUUCCUGUGUGUUAACUCCCCAUGGCGAGUGAUUCACUCACAGGGCGAGCUGCACAGUGACAUCAUUCCCUGUUUCGCAAUCUUGCGUCUUUUUCACAUAUUUUUGUUUUGAAUUGGUCUUUGGUAUAAAUAUGAAAGUUUUAGAUAAUUGUGUUAGCUUUCCAGUGGCGUUGGUUUGACUUGAAAAUGAUUUUUGGUUUUUGAGUUAUGAUGAAAAUACUCCAAGGAGGUCUUAGUGAAAUUUUAUGAAAAUUCCGCAUAACUAUUUCUAAGUCAACCCAAAACUUAUGGAUUGUUUCCAAACUUCAAAACUUGUGUACUAUGAGUUAAAUUAAUGUGUUUAAGAGUAUUUAAGCUACGUUGUGGUGAAUUUAACUUGGUUUUGUUUUGAAAGUGAAUUGGUUUUACAUUAUGAGUAAAGCGAUACGAACUUUGCAAAACUUUGAAUUUAAGUGAGUUGGCCUAUGGGACCUUGAUGUAUACACUAUUGCACUCAUAUGUGAUUGGUGUAUAUACUUAGUUGAGGUUUCCAAAUGUGUUUACCUUGUUUUGUCGGAUAACUUGAAAAUUGGUAAAAUGAUACGAACUUGUCGUAACCUGUGAUUUUGAUGAUUUUGUCGUAGUAGGCCGGUGAAACGCACAUGUAUAUUCAACUACACUCAUAUGUGAUCUAAGUGUAUACAUAGUCGAGGCCCUAGAGUUUAUUUACUUGGUGUUAGUUCAUUUGUCUCAAUUAUUUUAAAGUUGUAAAAUGAGAGUUGAACUUUGUCAAAAAUGGUUCUUUAAAGCCAAUUACCUUAUAAAUCUUUUGUAGAUAACUUUAUAUGACUAAAUGAAGAUAUGUGAAUGAAUUUUUAAUUGUUGAAUAUGAUAUUAUCAUAAGGUGUUGCAUUUUCUCUUUACUUGGAAUAUGAUAAGUAUUUGGAAUGGUGGAACUAUACUAUAUGGUUGAUGUUGAUUAAUAUUUAUAUAUCAAUUGAUGUUGAUGAUUACUGAUAAUUAUGAUGAAAAUGUGAUGAUGACUCUUAAUUGGAUUAUGACUUUAUUGUUGUGUGGACGUAAAUAUUUGAUAAUGCAAUUGUUGUUGAUGUUAUCCUUUAUAUUGUUGUUGAAUAUUUAUGAGGUGAUUUUGCAUUGUCAAGUCUUUCCUUGUAUGUCCAUGCAUCAUAGUCAUGUUGAGUCUUGAUGUUGUAAAGGAGGGUUACUCUUUUACUUUGGUGAUAAUGUAAGACGGGUGUGAAAUUUUACAUAUGAUGUUUUUGUUGCAUCAUGUGUGACGACCUUGAGGUGAUUUGGUACCACAUGCAUAUAUGUGUCGGGAUUAGGCACAUAUCAUAUUGGCGUGAGUCUUAAUUGAUGUAUUUGAAUGAUGAUUGAUGAUGAUAAGUGUGUUUGAUGAAUACAUACUUGUGAUAUUUAGAAUUGUUGCAUGAAUGUGUAUAUGGAAGUUAAUUGCUCAUGAUUAAUUAAUUGAUACUUGAUUUGAUUCAUUUAUGUCUAACUAUUUAUGUGGAUUAUGAUUGUUGUAAAGCUUACCCCUAGUGGUUUUGACCACCUACCUGUCUAUAUGGAUGGGUAGACGAAGUGCAAGAUUAGUCGCUUUGGUGAGUUGCUUGGUGAUUGCUUAGAUAGAGGGAGUUAUCUCCGUUAUCGUUUCCUUAGAGUCUUAGGAUAGGCUCUGAUCUAGGAUGUAUGUCUUAUGAUUAUUCUAGAUUGUUUAUUUUGGAUUUAUUUGUGUUGUGGAGAUUUACCCAAUUGUCGGAAUUUGAAGAAUUUUUAUGUUGAUGUAUUUUGACCUCAUGGCAUGUAUACUUUUGAAGUGUAUGGUUUAUAUCCGCUGCAACGGUAUAGAAUUUUUAUAUAUGCUUGUUAUUUGAACAUUGUUGAUGAUGUGGCGUCUAUUUCUUGGAUAUUUAUAUUAUUCGCGUGUUUUAUUGCUUUAAUAGAAAUAGGGCGCUACAAAAAACAUGCUAAAAAUAACGUAAGAUGUCCUGUCAUCAUACAACGAUUGAGAAAAAGAUAAAGAUUGUCUAAUACCCAAGACUUCUUACAUAACUAUUUCAUCAAAGCAGAAUAGUUCAAAAACUGGAAGGUGUGGGUUUUCAUGACCUAGGAAUACAGGUAGCUCAAGUGAUGACAACAUAAUUUAUGGGAAAUAUGAGAAUCAUCAAGUCUGUGGUAAUGUCAAAUGGAUUCUCAAUCAGAAAAGAAUGCAGAACCUUUAUCCCAGACUUUCCCUCGAUCAUCCAAGAACCAAAUACCAAAGAUCUAGCAGACCUAGUGUCACAAGCUUCUGAAGAUCUAAUCUGACAUGGACCAUGCUCCUAGGGCAUGGACCAUGCACCUAGGGUAGGGUGCGUUUCACAGUCACAUGCGCCUAGGGCAUGGAGUGUGCUCCCUGAGAACUAAAAAAGUGUGGGGCAAAAUUGAUUUUUUUUCGACUUUUGUGUUGUUAUUUUAUGUUGUGAUUUUCUCAGAUUGGAGUGGAGGUAGGAUGUGAGAGUUCAACAGAUCACCAUUUGUAUGACUGAACAGACUAUUCAGAAAAUCUGAAUCAGUGUUUUGAUAAAUGGUUUAGCUAGAGGGUAAUGAUAUAGGUGGCGAAGGAAUAAUGAUGGAUGGUACUGAAGAAAUGUUAACAUAUUAUGUAAGCUCAAGAUCAAUACCUUUUGUAUUAUGAGAUUCUUCUGCUUUGCCUGGUGAGGUUGGCUCAACGGUAGCUGUUGUGAGGUUGGCUCAACGGUAGCUGCUUCUGUGACUAGCAUGCUGACUUCUUCUGCUUGCUUCUGUUGCUUCUCUUGGUUCUCACACUCAUCUACAUCGAUGAAUAUUAGAUGACACAAAUCUUCCUUAGCAUGUACAUUCUUCUUCCUUUCUGGUGAGGGAAUGAGUGAGUGAAUAGUACCAGAGUUCCUUGUGAGCUUGGAAAAAUCCGUUUUGUAGACAGAUCACAAAGUCACAUACUCUUAAUUUGUCUCUGAGUCGGUUUUGGAUUGCCUCGUCUUUUUGGGUGCUUGAGAAACUUUCUCAUCACCUUUCCUCUUAACCUCGACUUUCUUUAACUUCUUUGUUGGAGGAGAUGUUGUGACUUUGGAUGAUUUCCUCUUAUUCUUCUUGUUGUCUGCAGUUUCUGAGUCACCAGGAGUUUAAUCCGGAAAGAACUAAUCCGCAACUAAUUACUAAUAUUUUUCAUUGAAAAAAAAUAAUUUUAAAUAAGACUGGUACCUUGGUCUGUUGUAAAUUUGUAAGAACUAAUUUGACAGACAAUGAUAUAACUCAAAGACUAAUUUAUUUGUAAGUGCAAUAAUUUUGUUACUAAUUUUUGACCGUAAAUAACACACAAGUUAGCAGAAGGACCAAGUUGUUCAAUAUAAUUCAAAAUGUGAUUGUUUUUGCCAUGGCAUCCCCCAGUUUUUCUAUAAUUACACAAGAUUCCCUUUGUCUCGAUGGUUAGGAAGUACAAUUUUCUUUUGGAUGUCUCGUGUCUGAGUCCUAAUUCCCCUCAUUUUUAUAUUUCUAUUAUAUUAUAUUUUAAAUUUUAUUAAAAAAAUGUUCUUGAGGGGGAAUCGAACACGCACCACUACACUGAAUUCUAGCAAAAAACUGACCCCUAGACCGGUUACUGAUCUGAAGAAUAUUAUGAAACAACUAAACAUAUAUUCCAUAAAUUUUGGCACCCCCAAGAUAAAAACUCAAGAUCCGCCAUUGCCUAACUCAAGGUCCUAAAUACGCCACUACCAUUAACUAUAAUUAAUAAGAGUGUUUUAGAAAAUGAAACAUAUUUUGAACAUAUUUCUUAUCAUUUCUUUAACAAUUAUGUAAAACUCAAAAGGAACCCUUAAUUUGAGACAGAGGAUAUAUAAUAAUCGAUGAAGUUUAAUAUCUGCAAAAAAGUGUUAUUAAGUGAAGUAAACUUAACAAGGGUGACACUUGUUUUCUUUUGGUAAGGUGUGGGAGCACUCUUGACUGAGUUUCUAUUUUUUUUUUUUAUAUUCUUUUGAAAGUUGUAGUGGUGUAAUUGGGUGGUUAGUUGAAGUAAUUUUCGUUUUGGUUCUUGCUUGAUCUAUUUUGCAUUGUGAAAUUUCAAUUCUUAGUUUGCUUUCUACAUUGACGGAGUUGCUAAGUUGCAAUCAAACUUUUGAGUGUGUAUUAAUUAUAACAGUAAGAGUGUUGCUAGCACUACUCUUAUAUAAAAUCAGAUGUAUUUUUAAAUUUAUUUAUUUAUUUUUUUUUUUUUAAUUUCUACGAAAGUGGUGCACUUUUCCAUGAAUAUGCUUUUAGUGCAACUCCUUACCAAUGUAGUCAAACAAUUUCUUAAAACUCAUUGUUAUUAGUCAUUUCGAAACAAUGUAUUCACCAAGACAAAGGAGUGGGUGGAAGGAUAAUGGGUGCAUGCACAAUCAAGAAAAAGUUAGGUGAACAUUACAAUCAAAAUAUAUAGCAUAGAGCAUCAAAAUUUAUCGUAUGAAACAAUGUUUUUCUAAAAUAUGAAUGUGAACAAAUAACCCUUCAACUCAUAAGAUGAUCUUUAAUAUAUAGAAUUAGAAAGUUAGAGUAUCAGUACACCGAAAUUUAUAUAUUCAAAAGUGAGGCGUAGUUGGUUUUCCUCUUUAUGUAGUAUAGUUCGGUUUUUCCAUUUUAUUAUGGUACUUAUUCCUAUCAAAUUGAUAAAUCAGCUUUAUCUUAUAAUUGAUUUAACUAAUGAUGACUUGAACAUCAAUAUUAUAUAUUCGGAUAUACGAGUACUUCAUCGUGCUCUUAAUUUAGAGAUGUUUUGAGUUUGUUUACAAAUUGAAUCUUUGAAUUUUAGACAUAGAACUUGUACUCUUUUAGAUAUAAUAUACCGAUUUGAAUGGAUAAAUACCGUAAUUCCAAACAUAUAUUUUUUUUUCACACACAUACCUCAUCCAUUACGAAACGCAGGAACUAAAGCUAUAUAAUAUAGUGAAGCUAAUUUAAUAAAAAAUAUAUAUAUUUGGUGAUGCUAAACUCAGUCUAACUUAAUGCCAGUUCAAAAGGAACACUGUGGUAUGGAGGAAUUCUUUGUUUUGCAUUUAUAAAUGGCAACUAUACCCUAUUAAUCAUCAUCAUAAAAAUAAUUUUUAUAAUGUAUGAGACCAAGUUUCACGUCUCUAUUAUUUUUCAUCAUUUUUUAGAAUUGUACGAUCUUGUACCAGAUCUUCGUUUAGUUAUGAUGAUAGCAACCACUCUCACUGAAAAAUUAUAUAAUAACAUUUUUUUGGCAUAUUUAAUUACUGAUCCUGUCGGUGUAUUAUUGUAAAAUUAGGCAAUUUGUCCAAUCAAUUCACACAUAAUUUCAAACCUGGCAACUAUAUAAAAACAAAAUCAUAGGUAAAUAAUGUAGAAAAUCACCAACAACCCUUGAAUUUUGUUACAAGAAAGGGCCAAGUCAUCACCUUAUCAAGAUUGUGAGUGGAUUCACAAAGAUCACGACUAGUAUAAAAGGAGGAAGUCACUCUUGUGUUUUCUGCACCAAACUCAUAAGUCACUAACAUGGCUUCCUCAAACUUCCUAGUGCUGCUUCUUUUUGCUCUAUUUGCCAUUCCUCAGGGUCUUGCCAAUUAUGAGAAGCCUCCGGUUUACCAACCACCGGUGUAUAAGCCACCAGUUGAGAAACCCCCGGUCUACAAACCCCCUGUAGAAAAGCCACCAGUAUAUAAGCCACCAGUAGAGAAGCCUCCAGUUUACAAACCACCGGUGUACAAGCCACCUGUGUACAAACCCCCAGUAGUGAAACCCCCAGUCUACAAACCUCCUGUUUACAAGCCACCGGUGUACAAGCCACCAGUUUACAAACCACCAGUAGAGAAGCCCCCAGUUUACAAGCCACCUGUAUACAAACCCCCAGUAGUGAAACCCCCAGUCUACAAACCUCCUGUUUACAAGCCACCAGUUGAGAAGCCUCCAGUUUACAAGCCACCAGUAGUGAAGCCACCUGUUUACAAGCCCCCAGUCUACAAGCCACCAGUAGUGAAGCCACCUGUAUACAAGCCUCCAGUCUACAAGCCACCCGUUUACAAGCCUCCAGUUGAGAAGCCUCCGGUCUACAAGCCACCUGUUUACAAGCCCCCAGUUGAGAAACCUCCAGUCUACAAGCCACCGGUUUACAAGCCUCCAGUCGAGAAGCCACCAGUUUACGGACCUCCUCACCACCCAUAGGACUCUCGGAUGCUUUUAAGUAAAUAAGUUAAAUAAGAGAUAUAUAAUGUUUCCAAAGCAAGGAUUAUAUAUUCUUGGAAUCUUCAUUUUAGUCUUUUGUUUACAAAUCCUAUUACCAAGAUAAGAAUGUGAAAGAAAAUGGUGCAUUUGUACUCCAAGUUAUGAAUAAGAACGUUGUGAUUUAGCACUUUUUAAUUUGUGUUGGUUGACUAAAUUGGACAUAGUAUAUAUAUACUCUACUUAAUACUCUGUCAUAUCAGUAAGGUGCAUGAAAGUUCAAUUUUCUGUAGUAGACAUAACGAAUAAUUAAUUUAUGUUUGAAUCUAGAAUUUACUAAACUUCACGUACUUGGAAUUUCAUUGCAUUAUAGCUUGACUCAGUAGUAGCUUUAGUGAAAAAUGAUUUUGGUGCUUAAAAUUUUAAGAGUUGGAGUUUGGACAAAUUAUACACUCAUAUAAUUUAGUUAUCUUUUCAAAUUUACAAUUACAAUUUUCAAGGUUCUAUAUUUGUGUUGAUGCACCAAUUAAGAGAAUGAUCAAGAAAAUUAGGUUUUUAAUUGGUUUUUAUCGAUGAUUUCUGAAGAUAUAUUUCGGCAGAUGAACUAAUCCUUCAAUUUAAGAGAUUAAAUUGCCAUUUUACAAAUUUCAAUGAUUAUAUUAUUACCUAAUCUUAAAUAUAAUUUUUAGGGCUAAAACGAUGAUUCACUCAAUAUAUAUUGUGAUUUCUUAUUUUUUUUAUGAUAUAAAGAUAGCUGAAGUUGUGUGAUAUACAAAGUUAUAUUUCCUUUGGAAGAUAAGAGUCCCCCACCAUAUUGACAUGAAAGUGAACGUGGGAAAAUAUGUGCAAUUAAGGUUCCAAAUAUUAAACAAUAGCCACAAUAAUUGUCUAUAACUCAUAACAAAUAUAAGAACUUGAUAAGAAAAAUAAUAAAUAUAAGAACAUGAGCAGGCCAUAGUUUUUUAGCCCGAGAAGCUUCAUCUUCUUUUUAAGUCUAACAUUUUUUAAUCUUCAUUCAAAGAAGAUUGGUGAUUUUGGGAUAUUUUUAUAAGAUAGGUAAAUAAUGAAAUUUGUGUUGUACUCGAAGAAAUCUACCACACGAUUUGAAUGAAUAUAUUACUUUUAGUCAAAAUAAAUUAAAAUAAAGAAUGUAACAUUUCAAACUCACUCACAUAUAAAGAAUGAAUUUACAAUCUUUAAAACACAAAUAUUUAAUCCUUAAAUCUAACACCUCUCUUAGUUUUAGCGAAAUGAACUUUGUGUUGUACUCGAAGAAAUCUACCACACAAUUUGAAUGAAUAUAUUACUUUUAGUCAAAAUAAAUUAAAAUAAAGAAUGUAAAAUUUCAAACUCACAUAAAAAGAAUGAAUUUACAAUCUUUAAAACACAAAUAUUUAAUCCUUAAAACUAACACCUCUCUUACAUUUAUUUUGUUUACGUACCUUUAUUUUGUUUUCAAAUACUUAUAUUUAGUUGAAUUCCUUCAUUAUACUCUUUUUAAUGAAUUUUCUGAACAAAAUAAAAUUGUGUUACUCAGUCACUCAAAUUAGAGUGGAUAGAGCAAUGAAAAUAUUUAUUACUAUGUAGUUUAUAGUUGGAGUGAUCGGAUAGUCUAGUGGGAUCUUAGCCACUCUCGUUUGACUCACUUGGAGCAUGUCAAAAAUAUUUUUUUGAAAAUGAACGAUGGAGAUUUACUUUGCACUAGGUCCAGUGAAAAAGAUAUGGGAGAUAAUCCCAAUCUUAGCUUAUUGGGUAGGCCAGUGUUGAGAAUGGAUUCUCUCAAAUGUAAUUAUCUCACUAGUCUAAUUACCAACACAAUCAAAGAGAAAAAAUAGUGGGAUGUAAGUAAAAAAUCCAUAUUCUACUUACUCAAUCAUCUAUACAAGCUACUUUAAUUAUCUAGUCGAACGUUACGAGCGUUACAAGAGAAAUCAGAAUAUCGAUGAUCAAAAUCCUUCAAAGCAAAAGAUGUUGUUGUGUGCAAGUGUGAGUUAUAUGCCCCACAUCGGAUAAAAGAGUAAAGGUUGAACACCUUAUAAGUAAGAGGACCAUAAACCCAAAGCCUUAAGGUUUUGGGUAAGAGUGUGGUGUCUCCCUUGCUUGUCUGGUUGUUCUAGCCUCGAUGUGGACGCUCCCCCAAGCUCCCCUCGCUGACCCAACAGUGGUAUCAGAACCCCGGUUCGAUGAAGGGUACGACUGAGGCCGCCUGUCAGUUGUGCAGAAAGCAGCAACGACGGUACAAGCAACAAGUGGCUUCUUGUGCAGCAACGGCUAUACAUGCAAAGUAAAAAGCUUCCACGCGGUACAAGCAACAAGUGGCUUCUUGUGCAGCAAUGGCUAUACAUGCAAAGUAAAAAGCUUCCACUCUAGGGGAGCGACUCACGCUUGAGGGGGAGUGCUGUUGUGUGCAAGUGUCUGUUAUAUGUCUCAAAUCGGAUAAAAGAGUAAAGGUUGAACAUCUUAUAAGUUAGAGGACCCAUAAACCCAUAGCCUUAAUACUGUCCUUUUUGCAUAUUUAGCCCCCCCGAAACCAAUUUUAACCAAUUCAACGAUGACGUGGAUGUCACGUGUGUAAUGCUUUAAUUAUUUUAGUUUUAGAUAGAUACAGAGAGAGAGGUGUCAUAUGUCAAAAAAAAAAAAAGAUAGAAAAGAUUUCCUUCCUUGAAUCGUUGAGGUAACUACAAACUAAGACAAUGAUGUUAUUGGUUACUUGUUUCUAAUACCUUUGAAAAAGAUAGUUAGACCAAUGUAUUGGUCAUUAACUCUUUUCAAUGGUUACUACCCUAGUGUCUAAGGUGAGUCAUAACAACGUCAAAGUAAGUACAAUUAUUAUUAAUUUAUGUCUACACCUAAUCAAUAAUUGAAGGUUAAGAUAGGUCAAGCCAACAAAGUUAAGGUUAAGAUAAUCAUUUUCACCUAAAUUGAUUUAUGAACAUAUGUUAAUGAUGACAGUCCGUCAUAUCACAUUUUUAGAGUCUUUUCAAUUAAGUUUUUAUUCUAAUUUUAUUAAUUUAGUACUUAAUUUAGAGUCAUUUUAAAUAAAUUGUCAUUUUCUUAUUAUUGAGUCAACUAGUGUAUUAUUACUAUUAUUAUUGGUCAAUUAGUGGCUAGUAAAGAGAAUGAAACAAAAACAUGGUUUUGUGAUGGAUGUGAUUGGCCAAGAAAAAUGAUAACAAGUUGAACGAAAGAAAAGAAGACCACACAAUGUUGCAUUAGGGUGCAGGAAUCAAAACCAAUAUAAUUGGGCUUUCUUUCAUGGACGUUGAACCAAGAAAAAGAAAAGAAAAGAUAACUUGCUGCAUAAUGUUAAUUUGGAAAGAAAAAUAGGUUUGACAAGCUAUAAAAGGAGACCACGCACAGGAACAAAGCAGACGAUUGGGAAAGAAAGAGCAGCACGCGGUACGAGACAAAAGGAGGAGGAGAAAAGCUCAUGGAAUUUGGAAUAUGCAACAGUACUGAUUAAAUAGAACAAAGCCGGUAGACCAUAAUUCGAUCGGUUUAUUUCUUUUAGUAUGUUGUUUAUUCCUUUAAUAUGUCUAGUUAAUUCCAUUUGAUUGAGUCACGAUGAACCUAUUGUAAUAUAUGAAUCAGUAGUUAAAACUCUUUUUAUUAUCAAUAUUAUUCAGUCUUUAUUCAGAAUUAUCUGUGUUCAUUGCCUUUCAUAUGAUUGUUUGCAUUGUUUGCAUUGUUUGCAUGACUAUUAACCCUAACUUCUUACAAUCACAUAAAUUGAUCUUAGGAAUUGAAUGACUACUAACCCUAACUUUUAAUCCUGAAAUAAUAAUUCUGUUUAAUUCAACAUAGGAACCUAGAGAUAGGAAAUUGAGGAUUAUGACAUAUAACGUUCUAACAUCGCUUCCGCGGUUAUUCAACCAGUUUAAAAGAUUAAAAGGUUAUAACUUAGGAAAUGGUUUUGAGUCAAGAGAUUGAUCAAAACUAAUUAGUUAAUUUGUCGUAAAGAUUGAAUAAGUGUUGAGAGCAAAGAGAGAUAAACUAUUUCACAUAAAACAAUAGAGGAUUUACCGGCUGAUCAUCUGUUUUAAUCCAAUUAUCAAACCAUUUUAUUUUAUGUUAUUUACUUUUUAUUGCACACAAACGUACUGCCUCAUACACUUAUAAAAUUUACACAUCCUAGAUAUUAACUUUAUUGCUAGUUUGAGAUUAACACAGUCCUCGUGGAUACGAACUUAUUUUAUUACUUCGAUAGUUUUAGUACACUUGCUAAAAUAUUUAUGAGUUAACCAAUAAAGAGUAUCAAGAACAACUUUAACCGAAUAAAAUAGAAAAGUAAUUAAAUGAAAUUUAUAGAAUUAUUCAAAGUUACAUAAUCAAACAAUUACGAGGAAGUUCUUAUUUCAUGACCUAACAUAUAUAGUAUUAGCUACUCAUAGAUUUUCUAAACAUAUAUAAAUAGAUAUGAAGAAGAAAGCAUGAGAAAAGGAUCAGCAAGUGAGGAUUAAUUGGCUCCCUAAUGGCCGUGGUCACUCCAAUCCUUCCAAAAUUGUGUUUCUGCCUUCGUCUUCUCGCUAAAAAGUAUUUUCCACUAACUUAGGUUUCAAUAUUUAUAGGUGUGCAUUUCCUUAAGUUUUUGGGAAAUUGGCACACGAUGCGAUCCUAUUCCUCAUGAUGCGAGGAUAACAUAACUAAUCUUGUUGGCCUCACGUUUAUUGUCCCGAUGCAAAGCUCAUGAAGAUUGAUACGAUUCAAGGAAAUGUGAUUUGAUUUAACCAAGCAAAAACCAAGAUCAUAGGAUAACAAUGAUACGAUUCAAAGAAGUGUUAACUUGAUUCACAGUAAUACAAUUCAAAGAAUCAUGAAUCGUUUAAAAAUUUAUGGAAAAUUAGCAGAAACUUUUCAUGAUAAGAUUCAAAAAAGUUUGAAUUGAAUCAAUUGGUUAGAAAAACAUUUUGACCAAGAAAAAUGAAGUUUUCUUUAUACAAACAAAACACAAGACAACAAGGGAUCAUAUGAUUUAUGAGGCAAGAUUUCUAGGUAUGCUUUAACAUGAUAUUAGUCAAUAACAACUAAUAUCUAAACAUCAUCAAAUAAAAACUACCUAAUGAACAUCAUAAAAACACAAACCUAUAACUACACAACUUCAUCCAACUUAUUGGGUGUACCGCAUUAACUAGAUAAUGGUCAUAUCUAUACUAUAUAUAAAGAAAAUAACAUGUUUUUCAAGGUGAGAAAAACACGAGAGGGGGGGGGGGGGGGGGUUGAAUUGUGGUUUCUUUCUCUUCUCCUAAAACCGAAUUCACUAUUCAGAACUUGAUAGAGUUCAGCUUCUGAAGUAGUGUUCAGAGUCUAGUUGCAGCGGAUAAGAAAAGAGAGAGAGAGAGAGAGGCAAGACACAAAGCAACUAUACAGAUUCCUUCCACAAACCGGAACUAGUCAUGUCCCCCUUGCACCUCCAAGAAGAGUUCACUAAAAUCAAUAUUCGAUUACAAUUGCUCAGGGCUCAAAAUAGCAAGAGACUUCAAACUACUCAAGAACAACUACAAGAGAUUUCCUAUGCUCAAGAACAAAAUCAAGAGACUUCCUAUGCUCAAGCACAACUGCAAGAGACUUCAUACAAAUCAGAUAAGACUCUUAAGAUUCUAGAAUUUCUAAAAUAUGAAAGUUGAUAAGAAAUUCUAAGUGAACUUUGAUGUGAAACAUUUUUAGCAGAGUUUUGGCACUUGUAAAAUUGUUGUAAGUCUCUUAGAAAUCUUCAAGUCUUCACUCCUUUAUAUAGAGGUGUGAAAGAGACGUUGUUGAUUUCCAACACAUUAAAAGAGUCGUUAUUGAAGCUUGAUCAAAUUUCAAUUCCAUUCCAAGUAUAGAGGAAUACCAGCGUAGUCACAAUUGUUGUUCUUGUACUAUUGCAGACAGAAAACAGAGUAGUGGAGAAGGUGGUUGUACAAUUGUACUAUUGUCCUUUUCCAAUGUUCUUCAAGGGAUAAGCAUCCAAUGACUUCAAAUUCCUCUUAAUUAGUUGUUGCUCUAGACUUCUAUUCCUUCUGCAAUGAUAGGCAUGAUAAUAACAACUCUUGACAAAUAUUGAAGCUUCCAGUCUUUCAGCUUAUGAUCUUAAACUUCUAACGACGUCAGCUUCUGGUAGUCUCCAGCUUAUGAUAAAAGUGCUUCUGAUGAUGUCAUCUUCAGAACCUCUUUGUCUUCAAAACCUCUUUUCCUUCAGAUGGUUCCUUGCAACUCAAGCUUCCUUUUUUUAAAUUCCAUUGCUCUCAUUUGUUCUUCUAGAACCCAUGCUUCAUUUAAAGACACUCAAAUUUUUGUAUAUGGUCCUGCACACUUGAACAAAUAUUAUCAUAUCCAAUUGAAUUUUUUUAAUACCUUGUUAUCAUCAAAACUUAAAGGGUAAUGUUAAACACAUUUUGUUCCAACAUUUUUGACUCUUUUAGAAUGACUUUUUCUCUUUCCAAAAUUACCAUCAACUUUCAAUACAAAUAACACAUACAACAAGAAUUGUGUUAUUUGAACAUCCAUAUAUGCGACAACUUUUGUGACAACCAAAAUUUUACAAAGAAAAUGAAGUAGUGGCACAAAAACCAAAGCAAUAGAGAGAGAAAGUAAAAAGAUAAUGUGAGUAUGAGAGAGAAAGUUGUCACAAAAGUUGUAAAAAAUAGUUGUUCAAAUAUCAUUUCUCCAUACAACAAAUAGAUGAGAGUAAAUUCAAACAUUAAAAUAAAAUUGUAAUACACACGAUAUGAGUAUAUAUGUCCAGUUUUUUCCUUUAUCAUUUAAAAAAUGUAACAAACAAGAUGAGAAUAUCAGAGAGAUGAGAGAUAGUGACGUGAGACAAGAAAGACCUCUCCGUGGCCCGCCUUUGCUUGAACGGUGGUAACCGCACCAGAAUUUAUCUCCAUUUGAGAGAUACACUAGGGGGUAGGUAUGCAGCCUGGGUGGUAGAAAAUGGGGGGGGGGGGGGGGGGGGUAUGGGUGAUUGGUCUGUAGUUAGGUCACGAAAGAGGAAAGCGACGCAAUCGGAAGAUCGAGGAAGGGACAAGUCAAGGGUUUCAGAGCGACGCGGAGGCACGGUAAGGGUUAGAGGGAUCGCACAUAAUGAUUACGGGUUUGAUGGCAGAGAGGCGCGACAAUCAGCAAGGGCUCUUCAUGAUCAGCAAGGUUUGGGUCGUUAUCAGUUUGGAAACAACGAUUUGGCUUUCGACAGAUGCGGGUCUGAUGCUAUCAUGGGAAAAGGCUUCUUCGACGACAAACAUAACAAUGGUAGUAAAAUUACUUUCUAUUUUGCAAACAUUCCUGAUUAUAUGCCGUUGUUUCGUCUCCGUCAAUACUUUGAAGUGUGUGGUAUUUUGUCUGAUGUCUAUGUUGCCAGACAACUAAAUUCACGUGGUCAGGUCUAUGGCUUCGUUAGAUUUUUGAAUGUGAGGAACAAGGACAAAUUAGCACAAGAUUUGAAUAAUGUAUGGAUUGGUGACUUUAAGGUCUGGGCGCGUGAAGCAAAAUUUGAUAGGUUUGCACAAUAUGAUGAUGAUCAUAGGGUGUCUAUGCAUGGUGAUAGAAGGGAUGAGAAUGGAGGGGAGAGGAGGCCGGUGGUGAGAACUAAUGGUGAUGGAGUAAAAAAUAUGAGGAUGUGUAAUUUUAAAAAAAUAGGAGGGAUAAUAAAAAUAGUUGUUGGUCUCAUUUUAAAAAAAAAUAAAAAAAUUGUUUAUAUAUUUUUGUUAUAUUAUCGGUGUCAAUGAAAUGGAUAAUCAUGGUUAAUUUGAUUUGUUAUAAUUUGAAAGCAACACACAUUUAUAUCUUUAAUUUUAAUCAAAAUCAAAAUGUUAUAAAAAAUACUAUUGCUAAUUUUCAAAUGUUAACACAAUAAAAAGAGCAGAAAGACGGAGUGCCCGUCUUUUCACUAGUUAUAAUAAAAGAAAUUUUAUUUGAUGUAUUGAUAAUGAUACUGAAACUUUUUACACAUACAUCCAAACAUUAUUCAUGACAUCACUUUUAUACAAGUUCUAAAAUAUCGCUGUAACAAAAAGGUUAAAAAACAACUCAUGAAAUAUGUACAUGAUUUAAUUGAAUAUAUGUGUAAAAGAAAUUAUAUAUCAACAUCUAUAAAUUAAAUUUAUUAUUGAAAUGAAAUACUAGUAAAAAUGAUGGCCAGCAUUUAUGAAAAUAAAGGUCUAACUGAUCAUGGGCCAAUUUAAAUCAAAAGUAGAUUUGUGCCCUCUAAAGGGUACUAGAAUAUAAAAGAUGGACGGCAAACAAGGGACACAAAGAAUAGAGAUGCUCAAUUUAAAACACAACUUCGAUUUUUUUUUUAUUUACUAAAAAAUAACUUAGAUUGUUUAGAGAAGAUAGGAAUUCAAUUAGUCUGACAACAUAUUUUGGAAGUACAAUUAGUUUCACAAUUAACUAUUUUGAUAAUCCUCCUUAUUAAAAAAAAAUUAAUAUUCCAUUUCGUCAAAUAAAACAAAAAGUUAGGGAGUGAUGAGAGAUCUUAGUCAAUAUUGUUUUGCACCAUAAUAUUUUUGAGAGAUUGAUUUGGCAUUUACAUGCUUCCAACAAAUACAAUGUAACAAGUGCUUAUAAUUAUAUGAUAUCGUCUCUUAAUAUUGUGACAGCUGAUCACUUAAACACAAUUUGGAACAACGAGGUCCCUCUGAAAGUUAGUCAUUUUACAUGGAGUUUGCUCUGUAGCCGAUUACCAACAACAAAUAAUUUUAUCAGAAGGCACAUUCUUAAUCAUAAUGUUCAACUUUGUGUAGGCUUUUGUGGUAUAAUGUAAGAUAUAGACGAUCUAUUUCUCUCUUGUGAUUUUUUUGAAAUUUUUUAGAUUGGUAUCUAUAAUUGGCUCGGCUUUACUAUGGUACAUCCAGAACAUCCGAAUAACUUUUCAACUCAUAUGGUUAACUUGUGUUUGGGUGAUUUGAUGGGAAAGAAAUGCUUGAAGUUUUCGCAAUCAAGAAGAAUCGUUACAACAUCUUCUUGACAAAAUUAAGCUUCAAUCCUAUUAGUGGUUGAAAGCGAAUAGAAUUUUCGCUCAAUUUUAAUAAAGUGGAUACUAUAUGAGAUUUUCGCUCAAUUUUUUAUGAGUAUGGACUGCACUUGGCGUUAGUCAUUGAACUCAUUUUACGAGACUCAAGUUCCAACUUAAGCCAAAAACUGAAACCAAACAAAUGAAGUAAAAAACUCAAGUUCCAAACUAAUGCGUGAUUUUAGUCAAAACAAUGUUUAUUUUUUGACAGUAGUUAGUUUUGGAUUACAGCUAUAUCCCUACACCCCACAAACUAUACCCCUCUCACCAAUAGACAAAACAAAAGAGUAGGUGGAAGGGUACAUAAUUAAGAAAAAGUUAUGUGAAAAACAAUAUUUUCUAUAGCCAAAACCAAAAGAUAUAUAUUGCAUUAUUGCAUAUAUACCAAUAAAAGAAGUACUGUGAAAUACAAGAUAAUGGCAUUAGAUUAGAAAUGGCCAAUUUGAUCUGUCUAUUUUUAAUCAUAUUAUUUAGAUUUGUUCAAUCUUUUACCAAAUCUUAUUUAGUUAUGCAAAAAGCAACACCUCUCGUUGAAAGAUAAUAAUAACGAUUUUUGGCAUAUGUUACUAAUAUUGAUUGAAAAAUGUUACCAAAUGAUGCAACUUCCCAACUCCAAUCCACUCAUAAUUUCAAACUUCGCUACCAUAUGAAAACAAAAUCACAGGUAGAAAUGUGUUGGAAAUCCUCAACAACUAUUGACUUUUGGUACAAAAGAGUGCCAAGUCAUUACUAAUUCAAGAUUGAGACAUGCAGCUGUGAGUGGAUUCACUAAGAUCACGACUAGUAUAAAAGGAGCUGGUCACACUUGUAUUUUAUGCACCAAAUUAUAAGUCACUAACAUGGCUUCCUCAAACUUUCUAAUGAUGCUCCUCUUUGCUCUCUUUGUCAUCCCUAAGGGGUUUGCCAACUACGAGAAACCUCCAGAGUAUCAUCCACCAGUUGAAAAUCCCCCAUUUUAUAAACCACCGGUAGAGAAACCACCUGUGUAUAAACCACCAAUAGAGCAACCUCCAAUUUAUAAGCCACCUGUAGAAAAUCCUCCAAUUUAUAAACCACCAGUAGAGAAACCACCCGUGUAUAAACCACCGUUUGAGAAACCUCCAAUCUACCAUCCACCAGUAGAGAUACCACCAGUGUACAACCCACCAGUUGAACAUCCUCCAAUUUACAAGCCUCCUGUAUACAAACCACCAGUAGAGCAACCUCCCGUCUAUAAGCCACCAGUAGAGAAGCCUCCAAUUUACAAGCCACCAGUAGAGAAACCUCCUGUUUACCAACCUCCUGUUUACAAGCCCCCAGUUGAGAAACCUCCAGUGUACAAGCCACCUGUAGAAAAGCCACCAGUGUACAAGCCACCUGUAGAAAAGCCACCAGUGUACAAGCCACCUGUAGAAAAGCCUCCUAUAUACAAACCACCAGUAGAGAAACCACCAGUGUACAAACCACCCGUUGAGAAACCCCCGGUUUAUAAGCCACCAGUAGAGAAACCACCUGUGUACAAGCCACCAGUUGAGAAGCCCCCAAUUUACAAGCCACCAGUAGAGAAACCACCUGUAUACAAGCCACCAGUUGAGAAGCCUCCAGCUUACAAGCCACCAGUUGAGAAGCCACCUGUAGAGAAACCACCAGUGUACAAGCCACCGGUUGAGAAGCCCCCAAUUUACAAACCACCAGUUGAGAAGCCUCCAGUGUACAAGCCACCGGUUGAGAAACCACCUGUCUACAAGCCACCUGUAGAAAAUCCACCUGUUUACAAGCCACCAUUUGAGAAACCUCCAAUUUAUAAACCGCCAAUAGAGUAUCCACCCGUGUACAAGCCCCCUUUUGAGAAACCCCCCAUCUACAAGCCACCUGUAGAGAAACCUCCUUUUUACAAGCCUCCGUUUGAGAAUCCACCAUUUUAUAUACCUCCAGUUGAGGAGCCUCCUGUUUACAAGCCUCCAUUCGAGAAGCCACCAAUUUACACUCCUCCAUUCUAGAGCCCACCUUACCACCCAAAGUUCCCUCGGGCAGGCGAUGGUACUCGUUAAUAGAACAUGCUAUGAAGAAAAUAUGUUAAAUAAGAGAUAUAUAGAGUUUUUUAUUUAAUCAAGGAAUAUAUAUAUUCAUGUAAUCUUCAUUUCAAUACUUUGUUUACAAUACUCUUGCUAUGAUAAGAAUAUGAGUGAAAAACAGAGAAAGAAAAUAGUGUGCUUUUCUAUUCGAAAUUAUGAAUAAGAUUUCUAUGAUUUAGAUGUUGUGUUGGUUGACUAAAUCGUGAUACAUCGACAGAGGCAGAGCCCCUCAUGCGCCAAGGUGGGUCAUGGCCCACCCCCAAAUUUUGUUUCUUAUUAUAUAUAUAUUAUGUUUUGUAAAUUUUUGAUGUUUUUGUAGCAUGUUGUAGUGGUUAAGAGCCUUUUUGCCAAGUCGUAUGUGCUAGGUUCAACUCUUGCCAAAACCAUUUUUAUUUAUUCUUUUAUUUUCUUUUGUAUAAAAAAAAAACAUAAUUCAUAAUUGUUAAAAUAAUCCUUUUUUUUGUUACUUAAUCCUUUCUUUCUUUAAUAAAACAUAACUCCUUUAUUCGAUUUAAAAUAAUCUUUCCUUUCCUUACUCUUAUUUUUGGAUACAAUUGUCUCUUUACUCUUUUAUUUUAAUUUUUUUUUUAUACAAAGGGGACUUCAACUCUUUUUUGUCAAAAAACAUUCUCUUUUAAAACAUAUAACAUAUUUUUUAUACUUAGUCGUUUGAUUCAAUUCGAUUUUAUACCUAUACAUCUGUUUAUUGAAGUCGAGUCAUUUAAUUCAGUCGUUAGGUUCAAUGGCCUAGUUGUUCGAUCAAUUAUCUUGAACUUUAUCAAGGUUGAUAAACAGUUCAUAUUUUAAAAUACCGGUUUAAAUUAUAUUCAACAAAUAACAAAUUUAUAGUCAUUGGAACCAACCAAUAAUAAAAUGUACUUGUAAGAAAAUAAAGCCUCAUCACUAUUUAUGGCCCACCCUAUACUUUUUUCCUAGCUCCGCCACUUUACAUCUUCGUAUUCUUUAGGAAGUUUCAACCUUGUUGACUAUGACAACAGUGACGACUAUAACGAGACUCGCUAUUGACUAUGACAACAGUGACGACUAUAACGAGACUCCCUACUUUUUGGUUUGCUUCAACAGGUUCUCAACAUAAAUAACUAACCAAGUUAAUUUGCCUGUGAAAUGUGAUAUUAGUAAGGUGCAUGAAGGUUAAGUUCUUUAGCAAAGCUUAGUAUCUUGAAUUAAAGAAUAUCGUUAAUUAAACUAAAUAUUCAUAUUAGGUAUCACAAUUUUCAAGACUUUAUAUGUACGUGUUGAUCCAUUAAUUAAGAGAAAUUAGACUUUAGACCCGUGCGUCGCACGGGUCAUUUCGACUAAUAUAUAAUAAUAAGUAAUGGUAAAAAAAAUUCUAAAAUAAAUAAAAGAUGAAGAGUAUUAUACAUUUUACUUACUCAAGUUCAAAAAAUAAAGUAGGAGAUGACAUGAAAUCGUUUAGUUGAAACAAACGAAUAUUAAAAAAUAAAAAUUAGACAACGACAGGGAUCUAAAAUUCUAUUUCUAAUCCUUCACAUAUCAAAAUUACAAUUGGUUCUCUUCAUUGUAAUCAUCUAAACUUAAUUAAAAAAUUUACAAGUGCAAAUAGAAUCGACAUUAUACAAGUCACUACUUGAUUCCAAAAACCUAUGUUUCAUGAAAACCACUCAUACCUAAAUAACAAUAAUAAACCUUCAAAACAAAAAUCAACUAUUCUCAAAGGACCCAAAAGAAAGAUUUUUAGCCUUCUAAAUCACAAUUUCUCUUGUUGUAUUGUUUUUGUGUCAAAAGCACCAUAAGUUGAAUAGUAGGCUCAGACACAUGACUUUCCUCAUAAGACAAAAUCACCAGUUUUUUAUAGGUUGAAAAAAUAAAUCAAAUAUCCUUAACUUUCAAUAACGCUUAGAAACAACUGAAACUUUUGCAUUAUCUCAAUCCACAAACAAAAUUGAAGACCUUUAUAUUUGCUUUAGGCACCUUAAGGAAUUCUAUGUAAAUUGUUUUCCUGCAAUGAAAUGCUAAACACAAUGAGCAAAGAAGAAGAAUUAACAACAAUAUUUGGAUUGUUUUAUUUAGCUUACAAUUCUUUAAACUAAUCAANAACACAAUGAGCAAAGAAGAAGAAUUAACAACAAUAUUUGGAUUGUUUUAUUUAGCUUACAAUUCUUUAAACUAAUCAACAAAAAAUUAAAUUUGCAUUAUAUCCUCCACAAUAUCAAGAAUUUUUCAAAGGGAUCAUUCUAUUUGUAUGGCUAUGAUGAGAACUCAUGUGUGUCCAUGAAGACCAGCUCUACGGAUAACCAUGUUCAUAUUAACUAUUUUAGGAGUGAAAAUAGGAUUGGAUUGGAUUUAGUAGUGAGCUGUUGUUUUUGAUUUCAGAAGCAUUUGAAAAUAACAUUUUGAUUAAAUGGAAAUAAUAGGAAGAAUUUGUUAAUAAAAGUGAUUUUUUUUUUUUUUUUUAUGUUGAUCUUUUUAUUGUUGUGUUAGAAACAAAAUAGGACGAAAUUGUAUUUUUUUUUUUAUGUUUAUCUUUUUAUUGUUGUGUUGGAAACAAAAUAGGAGGAAAUUGUUAUAGGAAUAGGAGGAACGAUUUUUAAAGUUUAUCUCUUAAUUAAACAGGUUUAAUUGAACACGGGGGUAAUAACGUAAAAGUCAUCAUAAAAUCUAGGUUAAAAUUAGGUUAAAAAUUGGCUUACGGGUUAACUUUUAUAUAUAAAGAAGUCAAGAGAAUCUAGAUCUGUGAAGCCCCGAUACUUCAAAAUGGAUGAUGUAUCGUAUCCGCUGCGUAUUCUGUAUCGAUACCUGCCCGAUACUUCUCAAAUUUAUGAGUUUUAUUUGAUUCUUCGAAUUCGAAUUUUGAGAAUUUUAGGGUUUGAAGGUUGGUGAUGGAGGUGAAUCUGAGUUUAUAUUAAGAAUUGAUGAAGAAUUUAAGGAGAGUGCAGUGAUGGAUAGGUAACUGAGUAUGAAUUGGUAUGCAGUUUGGAAAAACAAAACAAGAGGCAGUAGCAGCACCCCCACCCUUCCUCUACUUCUUCGACAAUAUGAGUGUUAGAUUCAUUUUCCUAGGUGUGAUUUUGAGGCAGAUGAAUAUGUGUGAGAGAUUGUAGAGGAAGAUCUCAGAUAUAGCUUUUAGGGAUGAACAUGAAUGAAUGAAUUUGUAGAUGAAGAUGAAUGUUGUUUGAACAUUUAAUUAAGAAAUUUUUAAUUGUUUUUUGUUUUAAUAUUUGAAAUUAUUAAAUUGUAUUUUGAAAUUCAAAAAACCUGUUUUAAUGACAUGUAAAUGACAUUUUCCAAAUUGGCAAUGCCACAUAGGCAAAAUUUUACCACCUGUGCAUUUUUGGAUGUGAAAAUAGGGGGUAAGACUAAAACUGCAACAAAAAUGAUAAUUGAAAAACAAUUUUAAUCUGUUUUAAAAGGGCAGGACCAAUUUCCUGAGUAGGCCACAACACGAGGACCAAAAGUGUAAUUAAGCCUUAUAUUUAUGUUGAUGUGCUACAAGCUUAUGACUGGUUUCUUUUGUUUGAUAAUAUAUUUGCAUAUUAAAUAAAAUGGUUAUAAUUAUAUUCUACAUUUAAUUAUAUAAUUUUUUUAUUGACGUAUCCCAACCAUAUCGUAUCUUGAUUUUUGAAAUUUUUUCGUAUUGACGUAUCGGUGCAGUAUCGUAUCUCGUAUUCGGGCUUCAUAGAUCUAGACUAUUAAUUUUUUUGAUAAACAAGAUUAUUAUUAUUUUUUGACAAAAACAAAGUGAGAUUCAUUCAUUCAAAUUGAUAGAGUACAUCAGAUACAAACAUUGCUAAAAACGUAAAGGAUAAAUCUAUGAACAAACUCACAACACUAAAGUUCAUACAACAGCAAAAUGUCUACAAAUAAUAUGAUAAAAUCUAAGUCACCAAAAUAUUCAUGCUUCCGGGUAUGCAACGUUGGCGCCCAAAUCAUUGAUUGAAUUUGUAAUUGACUAAUGUCGAUCUUUCAACAUGAACUAAACGAACACCGCGUCAAGACGCGAAAUCAAACAUCACAUAAGACCACUAACAACACAAUGCCACAAUUAGAUGACGAAAUCACAAAAACUCAAAAGGGAAAACUUGAUAUAUGUGAAAACCAUUUGUUUAGAUCGAAAGAAAAGAGAAAAAACGAUGUAGAGGGGUGAUUUUAGGUCAAAAAUGACCUAAAACCAGUUCUUUUUAAUAAACGAAGGAGAAAGAAUGUUUAGAGAGAAGUUGGAGUUUUUUUUUACUUAAAAAAUUAGGAUAAGCAAAAUUAUUAUAGAGGGAUAAAGGGCUCCCCAACCCAUAUACAAAAUGAUGGUUGCAAUGCCAUGUAGAAAAUAAAAAGAUAACAUUGCCUUUCUUUUUACAAUUAAACUAGUUACAAACCCGUGCGUUGCACGGGUUUAAUAACGUAUUUUAUAAAAAAAAAAUCUUUUAAAAGAAAAAUGAGCAAAUUAAUGAAUAUUGCACAAACAUUAUAAAUCUUUAUCAAAAUAUUUAUGAAAGCUUUAUCAAGUCUUUAAUACACAUUAAUAUUUGUGAUGAUUGAUAAAAGAAUUAAAAAGAGUAAAGGGUAUAGAAAUAAAUUUAUUAAAGAAUUAACAAUUUGUUUAAACUUAUUUUUGUUACAAUUUAGACCAAAAAAAAUAUUGGACUUCAUUGAGUUUCUCUAUAAUUUUUUUAUCAGGCUUGAAGUUAUGACUCUGAGUUUGAAAACCGCAAAAUUCACAAAAAUUAUUGAAGAAACACUAUAAACAAAUAAACGGCAUCGUCAAAAAUGAAAUCAUAUUUGGCUAUAGUGAUCAAGCAAACAAAAAAAAAGAAGCAUAUUAAAUACCUAUAAUCAAUGGAUUCUAAUUGCAUAGAGGCGACACUUAUACUUUCUCUAUGUUUGUUCAUCAAUGAGAGUGAUUAUUUUGCGCUUUCCUUUCAGAAUUGUUCUUGACACCUAGUUUGGGAAAUGCUAAACAGGGAAAUAACUGUAAUAUUAAUCUAAUGCAUAUUAACAUGGAUAAGAUGUAUGCGAAUAUAGUUAUAUAUAACUUAUGAAAUGAAGGUAACAUAACUGAUUUUAAGCUAAAGAAAAUGUACCAUGACUUCUAAUUUAUCUUUCUAUUAUCUUCCUAUAAAGUCUAGAGAAAUGCAUGCAUGUGCAUUAUAUGUACCCCGUUGACCAAUUAACAUUUUUGAAACAAAUGAAAAUUAAGCAUCACUCCCGCAUGUGCAUCUAUAGCUAACACCAUUUGACAUUGAUGUCUUCGAACAUUUGGUGCAACUCUCAUAAUACCAUCCAAACUGGUUAGGAUUGAAUUUAGUUGUUUUUCCAAAUAGUGAUGGAGUAUGUAUCCUAACACAAAUUAUGCACGUGAAAUAAAGAAUAGUGCAAUAUGCAUUUUUAAUUUGUGCGUAAAAAAAUUCAAAGCAUGUUUGUGAAAAAAAAAAAAAAAAACAGACCUUGACUAAGUUUAUAGAUUCAUCAAUUGGCCUAACUUGAGACAGAUUGGAAAAAUCGUUCUACGAAGUACUUUUUAAACUUUACUUUUUAAUCUAUCUGAGCUUGAGAAGUGUUAAGUUCACGACAACAAUUCAAGAAACAUGGUCAAUAAACAAUCAAAUCAGAUUGUGAAAUAAUAAGUUACUCUAACACUGUAUUGUGAAAUCAUAAUGCAAACUUACUAAGUCUUAAACUUUUCAACAACCGGAUGAUGUAGGUUGAUGAGCAGCCUCGAACCUGACCAAUUGUUACAUCUAUUUGCGUUGUCAUUGACUACAAAAUAGAAGCAAAGAAUUCAAGGUAAAUAAAUGGUAAAUGAUAAAGCUACAAAGUAUUUUACCCAUAAUGUUACAUCAACUAUAUUCCCAAUGCUCUAAAUCUCUAUAUCGAGUUAUUACAUGAACUCGAUCACCCUAAAUCCGAGAAAGAAACCAAAAAAUAUAAAUAAAUCAAAAUGUAUACUAAUAAGUAACAUUGAUAAAUCAUAAAAGAAAUUACUACAAAUCUUAACUAACUUAUCUAACCUUUGCAUCACAAAUAAUGAGCUUCAUAUGUUGAUUCUCAUUACUACCAGUCACAAUUCAAGAAUCCAGUACUCCAAAUCCUAUUUUCCAAACGUCUAAAUCAUUUUUGAGAUACUUAAUGUAGUCAUAAUCCCUUGACAUUGAAAUUCAUAUAUAGAAAUACAAUAAUACAUCAUUUAAUUUUAUUCCCUUUGUUCAUUCUGAUAUCGAAAGAAGCUAACAUAUUUCUAUGUGAUCAAUUUUUGUAUCAUCAAAUUAACCUGAUCUUAAAUGUACAAAUUUCUAUCAUCAACUUUCUGGACCCCAAUGAUAUGAUCAAAACAAAUUUACACCAAUCAACUUUUUGCACGGCUCAAUGAUAUACGAAAGAAUAAAUAAAAUAUGAAAACUGUUACAGCUUUAGGAUUACUCACAAAAACUAAAAUAAUUGAAAUGCAUCAAUUAUUUUCAACUCCUGUACCAGAAGCUAAAAUAACAAUUGUGUCAAAACCUUACCAUCAGUUAAAAUUCAGUCAUCAUGACCUCUACUAUACUCCACAUAACAAAAGACGAUUUUUCUACAGCCAUGCAACAUAACAAAUUUUGGUACAUAAUCCAAUAACAAUUGGAAAAAAAAAAAAAAAACCCUUAAAAUGCAUAAUCAUGAAAAAAGGAAGAAAACCAUCUAUGAUGAAGCAAAAACUAAAACGGUGUCGAAAAAUGAAGCCCUUAAGCCAUAAAAAUCAGUCAACUCAAGUCAUGCAUGGUCUCAGAACCAUGAAAAAAGAUAGAAAAUGACCUUUUUUUUUUUUGUGGUGGCCGGGGUUUGAACUCCGGACCUUGCAUAUUUUAUGCAUUGUCCUACCAACUAAGCUAAGCUCACGAGGACGAAGAAAAUGACCUCUUAUGAAGAAGAAAGUGAAACAGUGUUCCCGACUGAACUUAGAUACCGUUUGGUCAAGGUUUUUUACAUUAUAAAAGUUACUUCAAAACAAAGUAAAAAUAAAGGCCUUUAUGAAAGAAACUAAAGUUAUUUGGUUUUUUUGUUUUGUUAGUUUUAAAGCUAUUUAAGUUUAAUGUUGUUUGGCAAAAUAUUGUACAAACUUUGAAUUUAUUAUUUUUUAUAUGGUGUCUGGGGUUCGAACUCCGGACUUGGCAUGUAUUUAUGCAUUGUUCCUAUCAACUGAGCUAAACUCAUGAGGACAAAACUUUGAAUUUAUUAUUAAUUAACAUAAUAAAUAAAUAAAAUGUUUAGAAUAAUUUAUGAAGGCUAAAAAUGUUAAAAAAAUAAAAGAUAUUUUUUUUACAAAUACGAUAUUUACUCAAUAACGUUUAUUUUGUGUAACAUGAAUACAAAUUAAUAUCAUCAUAUAAAUAACUUGUUAAAUAUUUGAAUAGGAGAAACAAUUUAAGGAGUCUGGAAUAAUAAUAUAAAUAAUAUCAAAAUAUUUGAUUUUUUCUAUUUCAAUUAUACUCUAUAACAAAUUUCGUUAUAAGAAUACCAUAUUUUUUGUGUCUUUCAAAAAGAUAAGAAUUUAUAUUAUAUGAUAUUAUAUUUGUUACAUUGUUGGUGUCAUGGAAACAGAUAUGUUUAAUUUUUUUGAACAUGAAAAUGAUAUGCAUAGUUUGUUACGAUAUAAAGGUGCAAUAUAUAUAUAUAUAUACACCUUUUUAGGCAUCUAUACCUUUUUUUGAAGAAAAGACAUCUACAAUUUUACUUUUAAUUAAAAUUUAAAUUUUAUAAAAAUAAUCAUACGCAUUAUGCAACGCUAAAAAAAAUUAUACACAUUAGCGUAACAAAAAAACAGACACACAUAAAGAAUUACUCUAAACGCUAAUGUGUAUGUGCGUAUAUAUUUGCGAGGUUGAAGAAAGAAAAUACAAAUAUUUGAUAUCAUUAAAUGACAGCGUGAAUAAAAAUAUUUGUGAAGUUGUGAUGAUUAAACGAUAUUGAAAUUAUAAGUGAUAAAAAGAUAAUAAAAUUCCUUUGAAAAAAAGGUAAUAAAAUUAAAUGGAACCUCCUUAAAAAAAAUUAAAUUGAACGCUUCAAAUUAAAUGGAAGAAAAAAAUAUAUUGAAGUAUAAUAUUAAAAAAUAAAAAAAAAGGUUCCCAACGUGAAUUGAAGAGAGAUGCUUGUGAAAUAAAUUGUCGAGAAGUAGUUUUUUGAAGAAGCAUUCAACAACUUUUGGUCAAAGUUCAUUGCAUUCAAUUUUAUGCAUUAAAAAAGGUACAUUUUUUAGAAAGUACUUAAUUGAUAUUGUAUUUGACCUAACUUCUCCUUAAAAAUAUAGGGAAGUUGAAAAAAAAAACCGGGUCAAACGGUAUCUUAAUUUCCCACAACGGCAGUGUAGAAACAACUGAAUUUGGGAGAAAAAAAUUGGAAAAUAGUUAAAAAUAAAAAAAAUUGAAAAAUAGUUAAAAAAAAUCGGUGAGGUAGCACCUAACCAAACAACACUAAAAAAAAUUAUAUGCAUCAGCGUAACAAAAAAACAGACAGACGGACAUAAAAUAUUACUCUAAACGUUAAUGUGUGUGUAUAUAUUCGCGAGGUUGAAGAAAGGAAAUAAAAAUAUUUGGUAUCAUUAAAUGACAGCGUGAAUAAAAAUAUUUGUGAGGUUGUGAUGAUUAAACAAUAUUGAAAUUAAAAUAAUUAAUAUUGUGUUUGACCCAACUUCUCCUUAAAAAUUUAGAGAAGUUGGAAAAAAGUCGGGUCAAGCGAUACCUUAAUCUCCCACAACGGUAAUGUAGAAGCCACUGAAUUUGGGAGAAAAAAUUGGAAAAUAGUUAAAACUAAAAAAUAAAAAAAUCGGUGAGGUAGCACCCAACCAAGCAACACCAAAAAAAAAUUAUAUGCAUUAUCGUAACAAAAAAAUAGACAAACAGACAUAUAAUAUUACUCGAAACAUUAAUGUGUGUGUAUAUUCGCGAGGUUGAAGAAAGGAAAUAAAAAUAUUUGAUAUCAUUAAAUGACAACGUGAAUAAAUAUAUCUGUGAGGUUGUGAUGAUUAAAUAAUAUUUAAAUUAAAAUAAUUGAUAUUGUGUUUGACCUAACUUCUCCUUAAAAAUGUAGAGAAUUUGGAAAAAAGCCGGGUCAAACGAUACCUUAGUCUCCCACAACGGCAAUGUAGAAGCAACUGAAUUUGGGAGAAAAAAUUGAAAAAUAGUUAAAAACAUAAAAAUUGGAAAAUAGUUAAAAGUUAUUAAAAAUUAGAAAAUAAUUUAAAAAAUUGGUGAGGGGCAAAAUGGGAAAUUUGGCAUAAAAAAGAUGAGGUGGCACCAAACCAAACCCACCAAUUAGAAAAUUACUUAAAUGCCCAUUCCAGGGACAAAAUGGGAAUUUCAUAUGGCAUCAAUUUUAAUAGAGUAUAUAGACCACUCACAUUACACAAAUGUUGAAAUAUAUGAUGCAUAUUACUUUUUAAAUUUUUGGUUUAUAGUUGCAUUUUUUUUAGGGUUAAUAGUGUUUUUCACCCUUGUAAUAUAUGUCAUUUUCGGUUUUCGACCCUAUAAAAUUUUUAGUUUUAUUUUAACCCUCGUAAAAUUUUUAUUUUCCGGAAAAGACCCUUAAUAGGCCAUUCAAAAACCAAAAUUUCUUGAAAAAAAUUCUGAAAAUGGCCUAUUAGGGGUCUUUUCCGGAAAAUAAAAAUUAUACGAGGGACCACCUGUUGAGAAACCACCUGUACACAAGCCACCAGUUGAGAAGCUACCUGUUUACAAGCCACCUGUAGAGAAACCUCCGGUGUACAAGCCACCUGUUGAGAAGCCCCCAGUUUACAAACCUCCAGUAGAGAAGCCUCUAGUGCACAAGCCACCAGUUGAUAAACCACCUGUACACAAGCCACCAGUUGAGAAGCUACCUGUUUACAAGCCACCUGUAGAGAAACCUCCGGUGUACAAGCCACCAGUUGAGAAGCCCCCAGUUCACAAACCUCCAGUAGAGAAGCCUCCAGUUCACAAACCUCAAGUGGAGAAGCCACCUGUAUACAAGCCACCAGUUGAGAAGUUUCCAAUUUACAAACCUCUAGUAGAGAAGCCUCCAGUGCACAAGCCACGAGUUGAGAAACCACCUGUACACAAGCCACCAGUUGAGAAGCUACCUUUUUACAAGCCACCUGCAAAGAAACCUCCGGUGUACAAGCCACCAGUUGAGAAGUCCCCAGUUUACAAACCUCCGUUAGAGAAGCCUCCAGUGCACAAGCCACCGGUUGAGAAACCACCUGUAUACAAGCCACCAAUUGAGAAGCCCCCAGUUCACAAGCCUCCAUUCGAGAAGCCACCGAUUUACACAC
rnacentral:lncRNA from 1 species